GGGUGCACGGGUUUCUGGCUCUGCAGCAGAGAAUAGUGGUGGAGGAUUUCCCCCUCCAAGGGCUUGUAUCAUGGGCAUCAUCUGUUGAAACAUCCUUGAGAAGUCGAGACCACCACCCUGCCCUGUUUCUGUUCCAGUUAGCAUAUUCCUCAUAUCCUGACUGCCAACCUGCUGGGCAAUCGGGCUAAUCUGUGGGCUUUCUGGUUCUGUAGCAGAGAAUAGUGGUGGAGGAUUUCCCCCACCAAGGGCUUGUGAUACAAUGGGCAUCAUCUGUUGAAGCAUCCUUGAGAGGUCAACACCGCCCCUCUGCCCUCUUUCCGUUCCGGUUAACAUAUUCCCCAUAUCCUGACUGCCAACCUGCUGGGCAAUCUGACUGACAGUGUUCAUCAUCUGCGGGCUUUGUGUGAACUGUUGCAACAUGCUCCUUAAGCCAUCAGGUGAGUCAACUCCCGUUUGCUGUGAAAACCCUUCCAACAAACCAUUCAAAGCAGGACUAUUUAGAGCCUGAGACAUUAAACCCGCCACAUCAAUCUGACUACCGCUGGUGGGCAAGGGUCGCUGAGGCCUAUCAGCAUUUAUCAAAUUAACAGCAGAACCUUGACCCCCGAGUGUUUGCAAUAUAUUUUGACCAUCUGUCCUGGUUUCCUGACUUUGAUUGAUGAAAGAACUGGAGGAUCCGUCAUCAGCACCUUUAGGAGGUUGAAGUCUAGUUCGUCUCUGUUGUGGUGCACACAUUUAUGGAGGAUGAGUCAUGAACGAGGACGUGCAAAUUUGAUAAAAACAAAAACAAAAACAAAAAAACAAGAGAAGAGAAGAAGUUUCAAAACAUGUUCACCAAGGCUUUGCUAAUGAACAAAUGUGUCAAGUUUACAAUUAUAUACUGUUAAUGUGAUAAAAACCAAGCAACACACACUCCAUGCAGUUCAAUAAGGUUCCUAUCCUCCUUACAUCAUGCUUCUGCCUCCAAAUCAAUUCUUUUUUUCACUUUUUUUAUCCUUUAUAAUUUAUAUUACAUUACAUGUUCCCAUAUAAAAAAACCAAUCAAUAAAUGUCUCCCAUUGGCCAUCCCUAGAGUAAAAAGUUUAGAAAAUUAAAUAUAUAUAAAUGUCUCCAAAAAAGAAAGAAGCCCCACAAAUCACUGUUGAGAAAGAGUGGAAUAGGGGGAGUUUCACCCUAAUCAUGCAGAGCAGAUCAUGCAGCAAAAGGGAUGAUUUAUUUUCAUAGGUACAGAAACAUAGUAAAUAUUCCUACCAUGUCAGCUAGAGAUCUAUUCUUUUUAAUGAUAAUCCCCAAAUAUUAAGCUUAACAUAACGAUUGAUGUGCACUAAAAUUACCUUCAAAAGAAUGUUAAAAUUACCAAAUCAUGCUAACUGGCAAAACAUAAAAACAUAAAUACAAGACUUCCAGGUUAAACAGCUGAAUGGCAUAUAAGGUCUGAUCAACCAUGUCAUCCCCACAACCAACGCCAAACCCUUUUACACUAGGUGCAGUUUAAUCCAUGCAUCAAUUGAUUUCAUAAAUUCUUGCCAUGUAUCAGGUCCAAAUACAAACCAUUCACCUAUAAAUCUCUCUAAAUGGUUUGACAUAUACUUUUCUCUACUAUGGAUGUUGUCCCAAUUUUCUCUCUAACAAUUGUAUUAUAGUCCUAUUUUGCAUAUCUAUCAUAACACUCAUCUUUGUGAAACUAAAUUUACUUUCUUGUUGACUUUUUACCACCCAACAUUUAGUUUAAUACAACAUCGUUGGUCUUAUAUGCAUGUGAUAAAAUUGUCCUUUAACCUUGUGAGGUAUUUUUCUCCUAUCACAUAUCCCACCCCAAUCAUUCAACCAUUUCAUCCACCCCAUUUGAAUCGUAUGAUAGACAUCUAGAUAUCUCUCCUCCCCGCGAAUUUGUAUGAUGGACCGAAAGUACUUAAAAGUUAAACCUAGUAAUAAUUCAGUGUUCCAUUUUCUUCCCGUCAUAAUUACAACAAAUAUGAUGCAUCCUUGAGGACAAAAUAUGAAGCGUUGAAGGGAACUACUGCAGCAAGUUUAUCAUAAAAUAUAACGUGCAAAAAAAAAAACAAAUAUAUAAUAAAUUCAAAGAGAAGACUCAUCCAGAAAAUUUUCAAACACCAUGCAAAUAACCUCCCACCAAACAAAUCCAUUGGCAAGCAUCAAUUAUGAAAUUCAAGCUUCUCAUUUCACAAAAACAUAUACAAUAAGCUUACCUUACGCUCUAAACCACUCAUACCCAGUCCAAGAGGAGCAGUUUUGGCAGGUUCAGUUACAUCUUGUUUUUCACUUGAAGAUGGAGCAUCCUGUACUUUUUCUGAUUUUACCGUUGCUUCUCCACUAGAACAAUUUUGUAAAUCUUGAUUGGAAGAACUUGAAACAAAUUUGUCGACCAAAACAUCUCUCUCGUCAUUACUACAGGUUUUGAUUGCCUCAGUUUGGGUCUGGUUGUGAUCGGACUAACUAUUAGUCAAAUAAAAACUAUGCUUGUAGGGGAUAGAUAUAUCACCAUGUAUGAACAAAAGUAAUACCUUCUCUACUCCACUUUCAGAAGUGCAACCAACUGAGGAUACACCGGAAGCCCCAUGUCCGCUCAUCUCCGCGGUAUCUCUCUGUUCAUUUACCUGUUCAGAUCCAGAAGACAAGUCCCUGCUAGUUGAUUGCAUUUGGCCUAAUUGGAUGCAGAACAGUUUAGAAGUUAAAUAUGAUUGUAUUGAGACUAACUACACAUACAAUGAAACAAUAGAUAUAGGCAAACUAUCUGUCAGAAGGAAAUGAUGAAGGAGUAGAAUCAAUGCUGUUGAAUUGAGACCCAUACAUAUUAUUAAAACAAUGAAUUGCUAACCACCUGACAAAAUUGUGUUGUCUCCUUGCAUAUUACCAACAGAAUUUCUAAAGUGUGACUGGAUUUCAGCUAAAACAGAUGACAAUGGAGCUGAAUCGGGUGGUAGCUGUGAAGUGGAGAUACUGAAUCCAGUUGGUGUGCUGCCAGCAGCUCCGAUGCCAGAAGGGUUAGAUGGGAGAGUUGCCGAUAUGACAUUUCUAACAGGUAAACCCCGUGUCGAACCUGAAUCACCAGAACCGGGCUCGCUACGGUGUUCAGUCCUUGUCCCUUCUCCAUUGUUUGGUCUAGAGCCAAUUGCUGAAACAAUUGGUGCAAGAGAGGCACCUGGCAGUAAUCAAAAUUAAAAAAUGUUGUAGAUCUCACCAGGAGAAGUACAAUUAGUUUUACUUACCAGCAUGUAUGUGAAUGUUUACGUUCCUAGGAGCACUUCCAACACCAACAGGGCCUAAAGUUGCAGGAGUUGAAGAAGAAAGUGGACCGCCAAACAGGGAGCUUGUUUGAAGUGGAAAUGGCUGAAAAUAGCACAUCAUCAGUGUAAACAAAAACAGUGAAUAUAUUUGCUCAAAAAAAAAAAAAACAGUGAAUAUAUAAAGUAUCAACAAAACCACACAGAUAAAGACAAAUUUCAGUAGAUUGGUCAUCAAAAAUGCUACAGUCUUCAACGAUGAACUUACGUAGAUUGAGCUUGAGCAUACGCAAUUAUCAAGGCCCAGAGUACCAUGAUCUAGAUUGUACAACAAAAAUGAUGUGUUUGUGUUGAAAUUUGGGGUCUAACUCAUCUUUACAAAACCGGCUUGUAAGGUGAGGAGUGCCUCUUCUUUAUAAACUCUUCUCAAGAGUGCUAUCUAUCCGAUGUGGGACUAAAUCCACCCCCUCAAAGCCAACACAAUGAAGGGGUUGGAGGCUGCAAUGAAGGCUAACCAAAGGUCGCAAUUUAGGUGACUAGGGGCAAACCGCAAUUAAGGCAGAAUUCCAACACACCCCCUCACGCUUCAGCCCAGCCCAAUGGGCCUGCCUCAAAGCCAACACAAUGAAGGUGUUGGAGGCUGCAAUGAAGGCUAACCAAAGGUCGCAAUUUAGGCGACUAGGGGCGGACCGCAAUUAAAGCGGAAUUUCCAACAGUUUGAAAUUAAGAUCAUUGAAAAUUGCUACACCGACAUCCAGCUACAGAGACACAAAACAUAGUAGUCUCCAUCGUCAUAUUAGAUUGGUUAACAAUUUAAACUUGUUCUCACCCCGAUGGUUGUAUUAGGAAGAGAUAAACCUAAUUCUAGACAACCAAACCAGGAAAAUAUGAUAUUAGUGUGUGGGUUCGGUGUCUAGGAUCAACACAGGUUUUAUCAGGUAGAACUCUUGAAAACUCAAUGAACCUGCUAGGAUUAGGUAAACUAAACUAGUCAUAGGUUCCCUUUGAAUCGGUUAGGAAUCACAGGUUUUCUCAAGUAGAACUCUUGAACACUCAAUGAACCUCUUAGGAUUAUGUAUACUAGUCAUAGGUUCUCUUUGAAUCGGUUAGGAAUCUUAACUGAAUUGUAUUGAAUGACUGAUCAAAUGAUUGCAAUCCCUAAUUGUCUAUUUAUAGACUUUGCAGUAGAUCUGCAGUAGCAGGUUACUACUCUAAGCUGACUGACUAGUGUCAGUUAGUUACAACUCCACUAACGGUCAUAGCAGUUAGUUACACAGUGGAGAGAUAGGGUCAGGGAGGACCUAUGGCAAGCUCUCGUGAGCUUGCUCUGAAUCUAGCUAUAAUAGUCCUUCAAUAGAACCGAAUCUAAAAACAUGAAAAGUAUUUUGACAGAAGUUCAGAAUGGAUGCAUAGAGGCAGGCACCAUGCAAGCAGAUUUUGGGAAGCAUGCCACGGGUACCUUGAGGACAAGGCUGCACUUGAAGAGGUGGCAAGGUAAUGUUAGGAUGCAAGGAAAAGGAAAAAUUAGAGAACAUUAGGGAGGUUAAGUUGGUAAAAGGCGUAUCAUAAAAAUUGGACAAACAAGAAAAACAGGGAGGUUUCUGAUGCAUAAGAAGACAAAACUAGUGGAGGAGAGUCUUCUCCGCUAUUCUCAGUAAUAUUAAAAAAAAAAAAAAAAUACUCUUUCGAUUAUUUCUAUCAAUUUCCCAUUUACGUUGGUUUCCUAGCAUGAACAUAGAUGACAUAGGAAUAAUAAUUGACUCUCCAAAUGUACAAAUAUAUAUGAGCAAACAAUCAUUUUAGUUUCCAAAGGUACAAAUAUCAAGUAGAACCCCAAAAAACAUCCUUCUACAUGCACACCAUGACAACACAAAUAAUGGGGAUUCUAAUUUAAAGAUUGAAUAAAUUUUAUCUUCUAAGACUGCAAGGAUAAACUGACGCCACUAUCAGUAGUUGAUGGACUAGAUUGGUUGUGAUUAUGUUUAGAGGACCAAAGAUGUGUCACCAAUAUCUUUGAUAGUGAUAGGUUAAAUGAGUGUUUACUCUUCAUAAUUAUAUGUGGACACCAUUUGAUGAGCAACUUGUGGUACUCGAUAGUGAACUGAACUAAGCCCAGUCCCCUACACCUUAACAUGUUUAGAAUACAAUAUUGAAGUACACUCCAUGUACACCAUAUCAGAACUCAAUAAUUCCUUUAAUAAAACGAAUCUUCUCGACACAGAAAGACUGCAGUCUUACUGCAUUAUUGAUUUUUUUUCGAUUUCCCUCACUAGUCUCUUGUCUAGCUUGCUUUAUUUUCGUCUCAAAAAGAUAUCUGUUUUUUCCUUCUUUGAUGUACCAUACAGGAGUAAAUUAGCCUUAUACAAAAACAUUUGAAUACAAUCAGAUUCAUAAGAAUUUUUUAUCAUUCUUAAAACCUCUUCUUUCAUGAACAAUCUAUUCAACUAAUGCCUAAUAGAGAUCACAUGUUAUCUUAAACAUAAUUUAAUGAAUAUCAACUAUUUUUCCUUGCAUAUUGGCAGAAAUGUAGCUUGUAUUGUUCCUAAGCCACGAAAUCCCAAGUAUGCAGUAUAACACGUGAACAGUUAAGAGUCAAGUUCAGGUCAUAAAAUUUGAAGACUCGUGUUGCACAAUUGAACUUUCAUCAAACAGCUUGACUAGGACAAGGUAUUGAAAUGAAAAUGGUUAUCAACUGACUUUUUUCCAAUCUUCAAUCCUUUAUCAAUAAUCUAUUAUGUUGAACCAGCUUAAUGAUUUAUAAUGUCUAGAGUCAAGUUUUGACAUAUCAACUCAGCACAGUUUAUUGCAUGUCUUCAUCAACUUAAUUGAUAUAUCAAAUAAUGUGAAUAUAUCAAAAAUGACAAACCUGCACCAUUAUAGGAUUUGGCCCUGAUGGAGAAAUAUAAACUGCUGGUCCAGCAUUAACAACAGAUUCUGCCUGAAAAUUGAAUAUGAUCAUGAAAAGUAUUUUGUCAAAAGAAAGCAAUCCAAAUCACAAAUGAAAAUAAUGAAAACAUACCGAAGACUGUCCCAUUCGCAGUGUUAACAUAGUUCGGCCUAGUUCAAGUAGAAGUGCACCCAAAUGCUGCAUAGCAAUUCCUAUUUGUACUGACUCUGACUGUAUUUGACCUCUUACACCUAGAUCAGCAGAAGUUCCCUCUCGCUCCAUGCGUCCUGCAAUAUGCUAGUCACAAAUUACAAGUAAAACAGAAUCAGAUAAAUAUAAAGGAUGAAAAUAUUGAGACUAGUUGACAUUAACAAAUCCAUACAAUUAAAAUGCACUUCAUCAUGACAACAUUUUUGUGUUAAAUAAACAGAAGCACUUCUGUUUGAGACUUGGAUUCUAUCAGAUUCAUGUAUCAUUGCACCAACACAUAUAUCAGUGAUGGAAAGCAGGAUACAUUAGAUUAGAAAUUUUAACCAACAAGAGGGUAUUCAGAAAAAUACAUCCUUCAUAUCCUAUGUGAUCUUUAACUGGCACAACAGAAUGUGAUGUAUAUGGGUGGUCCCUUGAUUAAUCAACUGAUAGGUGUUAAAAUUGCAGGCGUUAUCUUAGUACAACAAAGUCCAACAUUGCUAAAAAAGCAAAGAGAAGGAAAACUCAAUUAUUUUCAGUUCAUACAGUUUUACUUUUACCAUCAAAGCAUGCUCAAAAUACCAAUUAUUAUGAAGACAUUUAAUGUCCUCUCUUUCUUUCUCUCUUUCUCUCACACACACAUAUAUACACACACACAUAACAAAUUAAAGAUUUACAACGGUUACAAUAUUGAGACAAGACAAUUUAGUUGUGUCCGAAAUUUGGACAUAUUUAGGAUUAUCCUAGGCAAGAAUUCUGGCCAGUUUCCAGUAAAGUUUAUACAACAACAAACGUCUAAUAAGUGCAGAUAGUGAAAAAUGUAUGUAUAUAAAUGGGAUGUGGUAAUUACAGAUAGCGCAGAAACAGCUUGACCACUAAGCAACUGUUCUGUACGAUGCAAUACAGUGGUUAGUGCUUCAAGUGUUGGCAACCCUUGUGUAUUGGAAGGCAAUUCUGCUCUUUGAUCUCCAAGGUUAGUUGAAGAUAUAUUUGGCCCAUAACCUGCAAAAGCAAAUAUAAAUACUUAUGUGCCCUUUCAAUUCUAGAUAGAAGAUUACAGUUUCAGCACCAUUACCAUUUUGAGAGAGUGCAUGUUCCAUGCGAUUUAUGAACACAGACAGUGUGUUGAGUGAAUGGGGAAUUGGCUGAAAUGAUGUGAGUUAAAUGAUAUUCAAAUACAAAAUUUAAAGGAGUAAAAAUUAAGAGGAAGUGCAGAAGAGAGACUCUAUUCCUACAGCAUUGAAAGAAGGAACAGGUAUGGCUCCAGCAGCCAUAGGAAUUUGAACAACAUGAGGAAACGGUUGGAAUGCCUGUCCAGACGGUGCCUGAUUUCCAGCUUGAUUUCCUUCAGUUCCGUUCCCCGGUGGAGCCUAAAAAAAUGGAUUCAGCUCUGGUUAAGGUGCGCACAUAUAUUGCAGUAUGGAUGUAGCAAAACAAGAUGUACCGACUCAAGAGGACAACUCUUUGUGCUGCACUGAAUCUUUUUCAAAAUUAAAAUAAUUGUGGAGAAUAAAAGGAAUUAACCGUGUCAUUAUAAAAAUCAUACGGGAAAAAAAAAAUUAUUCAUUUUACAAAAAAGGGGGAAAAGAUAUGCCAAAAGUAAAUAAAUUAUCUACUUUUGAAGAUAAAUAAUCAUUUAUAGGAUAUUUGACAUUUCUCACUAGUAGGACAAUAGAUGAAACUGUUUACCACUACGAAACACAAACCAGCUGGAAUAGUUACAGCAACAUGUGAUGUGAUUACUUCAUUAAUCAUGAUCUAAGAAGAUAAAAUUGAAAGGACGAGUAUAAGGAACCUAAACAACAAUUACCAUGCACUUUCAAGGAUAAUCUAAACGCAGACUAAAAUCAUAGAUGGCUGUGAAUUUAAUUCAGAGUGAUGAGUGAUUCGUGUAUAAGAAAAUAAUAAUCUAGUAAAUUACACAAAUGGCAAAAAGUCGUAUUUUCUCAAGCAAAAAGUAAAACUGACCGAAGAAGUUUGUGCGGAAUUAGGAGCAUUCAUUGUACCCUGGCCACCAUUUGCAAAAGAAUUCAAAACUGCCCCGAUAACCUGAAAUCAUAUUACAUCAAUAAAUAAUGUUUUCAGGCAAUACCAAAGCAAAACAUCAUCACUAACGCAUAUAUGAAAGAAAGAAAGAAAGAAAAAACUUUAUUAGUAUAAGUUGUAGAUACUGUAGGGAGAAGCAAAGAAUACAGUAACGAACCCGAGUAAUGUCUUGAGAAAUGCCUUCACCACCCUGAUCCCCCACAUUAAUAGUCCCAAGAACCACACUGUGUGAAAUUUGCCCAACACGGCUACGUGGAGCUCCUGAACCAACAUUGUUUCCUUUCAAAUGAUAAAAUUUAUCAUCAGCAUUUAGCACAAUACAACUUGAUCUAUGAAAAAGCCUCGAUCAAACGGGGGAGUGCAAAUGACUAGGUUAUACCUCGGUUACUAUUUGCAUUAGUUGUCUCACUGCCGGACCCGGUAGCAGACGUCUGUGUCUGAUUUGGCUGUCUUUCAACCAAAUGCAAUGUAUGGCCAUUCUCAACAUCUUUAGUGGAUAAGGAUGGCGGUGUGAUUUAAAAUAAUGAGCCAUUUUAUGAUACAUGAAAUUCUACUAGAUGGCAUAUCAUAUUCUUGAACCUAGGAAUACACAAAUUUAAAAGCUAAAGUAAUAAAUAAAUAAAUAAAUAGAGAGAUGGUGUUAAUAAAAGGAUACGAUAGUGAGAAAGAAGGUGUUCAUCCUUUAAGACUUUUCCUCUAAAAAUGAGUCGUUGCUGAUUAACAGGUAAACCUACUUCAGUUGCAAUUUUGUCUUUGAAGAGGGAAACGGGCAUCUGAAAUGAAAUAAUUGAUUGAAAAGAGUAAUCAAUCAGUAAAAAAGAAAAAAAAAGAAAUUGAUUUGAGAUUAAAGGUGCUGACAUUUUUGUCGACUUGAAAAGUGUAGAUUCGAGAAUCAAGAGUCUUGAUAUUGAGAUGAAGAGUUGAAUCUUGUUGUUCAGAAACAAUGGUGCCGGUGCUGGAGCUGCCUUCGCCUUCAUUUGAAGAUUGGCUCGCCAUGGUGUGUUGUGCUGUUCAGCUGCAAAGUCUAUUUGUUUAUGCAGUAAUAAAAAACACAAACAAACCUAACAGCAUGAUUGUAUUGUAUUGUAUUGUAUUGGGAAAAAAAACCUAUUCUACAAAAAUAAUUCGUCGUCGGGGGUAAAGAGAUUCUGAAAUACCUAUCGAUAGAGAUUUCGAAGAGGAAGAAAACACAGUGUGUUGUGUUAUAAUAACUAAGAUCGAUCUGUUCUGUUCUGGGAAGAUUCUAGAGUGUUCGCUAACCUUUCACAAAAGAUGAAUCAAUCAACAAUAACAAGAGUCGAUGAUGAUCAUUUCCAAACACUUUAAAAAAUAUCAUUAAAGAGGGUAAGAGACAACAUGUCUUUUUUUUCUUUUUUUUUUUUUUUUUUUUAGAGUCGUCAACAAGUCAUUGUCGAACCAGGCUCACUGCCGUGGGUGUGUGUGUGUGUCAGGCCCAAUUCACUUAAGUCCACCACAAUUUCUACCCACACUCUCCUUCCUACCAUCAUACUAUGAAAUUAAAUAUUCCAUACUUUUAUUUAUUAUUCAAUUCUAAUAUUUUCUUUUACCCUUUUGACUCAAAUAUAUAUAUAUAUAUAUAUAUAUAUAUAUAUAUAUAUAUAUAUAUAUAUAUAUAUAUAUAUAUAUGUAUCCUCCCUCUCUAUUUUGUAGUAUAAUUUUUUAAUAUAGAACAUUCACAAACAUUUCAUAACUAAAAAAUUAAAAUAAAACUUUUUCAGAAUUUGAUGAUUGUAAUUCCUAUAUGAAGUUAUUAGCUAUUUUAAAAAAAUUUAGUGAUUCCUCAAUUUUGAACUUGGGGGUUACAUGUUUAGAAGUUGUUUUCUUCACAAAUUUUGUGUUAGGCUGGAAGGAACGAGAGUUUAACUGCUUGUGACACAGUGGCAUAUUUGUUGAUGACUGCACUAUAAGAUUUGAAGAGAUGAUAAAGGAUAAUUUGUGGUACGAUGGAGGAUCCAUUAUGGUAGACAUGGACAUCAUCUUGAUGCAGAUAGAAAACGAGGUAUGUCACAAUUAUCAUUGAGAUUAUGCUUAUGCGGUGGACCCCAUUUAUCCAAUGAAUGCCCUAUGAGAGUUGCGAGAGCUUGUUUCCUGAAAAAACAAUAUUAAAAAUUUGCUAAAAGAAAGAAUAAGCUCUAAUAGUAAUGACCAUUAAGAUGAUUAAGUCGUUAACUUUCAUGUGGCUGAAGGGGAAAUACGUCAAUCUUCCCUUCAAUUAUCAUGGUUGGUGACUUAGUCCAUUUACCUUUUCAGACAUUGGUUUUGUUAGUUUCUUUCGUUUUUGUCCGCUUUUGCGGUUUGGCUUUGCCUUGUAAAUAUAGUCUUGACACUCUUUGAAUUUUGGUGUUUCUUCCUUAGCACAUCUUAUGUCAGGAAGGCCUUUUUGAUGUGGUAAUACAAUUUUAUUUUAGCCUCUUCAAAAAAAAAUUAUUAAGUGAUUAAUCUAUUGAUCUUUUUUUUUUGAGCAAAUUAAUCCAUUGGUCUAAAGAGAUAAACAUAAUAUAUCACAAUACACAUAAGAGACCUUUUAUUAAUAAUUUUUAUUUGAAGAAUUGUGGCUUGCAUAAUAUAUUAUGUUAGAAAAUAAUGUUAUUGUACUUCUAAUCAGCAAAUCAUUUUAUCAGCUGCAUGUUGGUAUUUUUAAGAUUUUUCUCGUACUUCAAUUUUUGUUUAGAUGGGUCAAAAAUCGUAUUAGUCCAUUUUGCAUGUUUUUUUAAUGGUAAAUGUAAGUAAUUAAUUUUUUUUAAUGUAAGUAAUUAAUUGUUAGAUUAGUUUUUUAUCCUUCCUUUGAGUUUGAAUCUAAAACCUUUAAAAAAAAAAUUGACAAAAAACCUUUAAAUUUUUAUCCCUUAAUUCAAUCUAGUUGUUUUCGUACAUUAUGCAACCAUUGUCAUAUUUUGUUUGAACUUAUAUGUUAUCAAGAAUAACGUCACUUUGUUAAAAAAAAAAAAAAAAAAGAAUAACGUCACUGCACAAUUUGAAUUAGUGACUUUAAGAAAUAAGUUUACAGAACUGCUAAAUACUAAAUAGUACGAUAUAUUGUCAUACGAAAAUUCAUGGAUGCAUGAAAUUCUGCUUUCCACACGCGCACCAGUUUUUAAAUUUUAUUUUAUUAUUUUAAAAACACUAAAUUAAAUCUAUAUUAUAUAUCUAUACUAUAUAUCAAGAAAACUACCCCUUUCGGCACAUUUUUGGGUUAGAAUUUUCUUUCCAAAAAUACCCUUAAUUUUUUAUUUUAAUUUUAAAUACAAAUAACACAUGUAACAUAUAGAUAAGAAUAAAUUUGCCAAAAUUUAAUUUAAGGAGAAAACAUGCGCACAAUUCCUUAUGAAUUGUUCUUACUACUAGCCAAUUAUAAAAUAACACGUGGAUUACUAAUCCAUGUCAAUGAUCGUCCCUGUUAACCCUCUUUUAUCGGCGAUUUUAUUUUGUACAUCUAUGUUGUUCCCCUCAAUACAACCGACAAAGAUUGUCAAGUAUUUUCAUAUCCCUUCCACAAAAAAAAAAAAGUAUUUUCAUAUUAUUUUAUUAAUAUAAGUUACUCUUCCAUAGCCUUUGAUCAAUUGUAACAAACGUAAACAAAAAAUAAUUGUGAAGAUUGGACUUUAAAUCCUCUAAAAAAAUAUUAGUAACAAACUUGAGCAAAAAAUAAUGUUAAAGAUUGAACUUUAAAUCCUCUAAAAAAAAGAUUAGUAACAAACGUGAGCGAAAAAUAUUGUUAAAGAUUUGACUUUAAAUCCUCUAAAAAAAGAUUAGUAAAAAAACGUGACCAAAAAAUAAUGUUAAAGAUUGGACUUUAAAUCCUCUAAAAAUAAAAUAUUAGUAACAAACCUCAGAAAAAAUAAUAAUGUUAAAGAUUAGAGUUUAAAUACUCUACAAAAAUAUUAGUAACAAACGUGAGCAAAAAAUAAUGUUAAAGAUUUGACUUUAAAUCUUCUUAUAAAAAGAUUUGUAACAAAUGUGAGCAAAAUAUAAUGUUAAAGAUUAAAGUUUAAAUCCUCCAAAAACAAGAUUAGUAACAAACGUGAACAAAAAAUAAUGUGAAAGAUUGGACUUUAAAUCCUCUAAAAAAAAUAUUAGGAUUCAAAAUAUUUUAGAAAAAAUUUUUUUAGCACUAUAUUAAAUAUUAAUAAGUAGGGUUCUCACAGUUAAUAGUUCGUUCCCGCAUUGUUUUGUUUUUCUUAACCUCUCUCAACCCUCUGCAUCAGAAUUCAGAAUUAACCUGUUUAAUUUUUUUCUUUUUCUUUCAUGUUAAAACUAAUCAAAGUCGAUUAAUUUUAUGGAUUAUAUAUUUAACUUUGUUGGUUUAUAAGUGAUUAUGAUUCAAAUUGUUUACGAUUAAUUUUAAAAAUUAUUUGACUUUACUGGUUUAUAAUUUCUUAUACAAACUAUGAUAGCGUGAUUUUUUUUUAUAUAAAGAGAACCGUGGUUUUUUUAAUUAUUAAAUAAAGGUAAAAUAAGAAAUAACAUCCCCUGCCGUUAAGCUCCUUCCACUGUCGUUUAAAGGAAUAAAAGCAUUGUUUUUUUUUCUUUGUGAUUCCAAAUGUUCGACAUGUAUACAAUUGAUAAAUUGCUCUCGUGGCCUCCAUCGAAUAUCCAACAAAAUAUAAUGAAAUCAAAGUGUUAAAACCAUUUAAACAAUUCAAAAUUGUUAAACGAUAAUCAUACUCAUGUUACCAACAACUAAAAACAGAAACACUAGAAAGCUUCAAACUACCAUCUUUUGUUUAUGGUUAUAUUUAACCACCAUCUAAUAGGCCAUAAAAAGAGAGGACCUCUAAGAAGUUUGGAUGCAAACACCGACACCCGAUACAACACGGGUACGAUAGUGCCCGUCUUUCCGCUAGUAUAAAAUAACACAACUCUAAUAAGACCCACUAUCACGCACACCACUCCCGCUGCUUACGGUUUCUAUUUUCCCUUAUCAGAUCUAUUAGGGUGCGUUUGGAUUGAGGGUUUAGGAGGGGAGGGUUUACUUUUCUUUUUUAAAUUACAAACUAUAUAACAUGUUUUUUUUAAAUAAAUUAAGUGUGAUUGAAGUAUUAUAUGAUCGUUUACCAUGUUAAUAUGUUAACUUUUUAAAAAAUAUUUCAUAGUGUCCGUAAUUUAAAAAUGAAAAGUAAACUUUCACCUCCCUUCCCCUCCUAAACUCUUCAUCCAAACACAUCCUUAGGCCACGUUUGGACAAGAAGAGAAGGUGAAAGGAAACAGUGGCGGAGCCCUUCAUGGGCUGGGGUGGGCCACGGCCCACCCGAAAAAAUUAAAAAAUCAACGAUUAUAGGUCUAUUUUGCGAGAUUUUAUGCAAUUUUGUGUCGAUUUUAUGUUCUGGUUGAUCCAAAUUCUUGCAAAGUGGUGUAGUGGCCCACCUGAAAAUUUAAAUAAUUCAAUUAUAGGUCUAUUUUGCGAGAUUUUAAUUUUAUACAAUUUUCUGUCGGUUUUAGGUUUCGGUUGAUCCCAAUUCCCGCAAAUUGGUGCAGUGGUCCACCCGAAAAAUUUAAAUAAUUCAAUUAUAGAUCUAAUUUGCGAAACUUUAUACAAUUUUUCAAAAGUUAAUUUUAGUGGCCCACCCUGACAUUUUUUUCUGGUUCCGCCGCUGAAAGGAAAGAAAGUAAAAGGAAAGGUUGUUAAUAAAGGAUUGAAAGUGGGUAGAAAGUGUGUAGAAAGGGUGAUGAUUCUUUAUUGUUUGGUUUGAGAGAUAGUGGGAGAAAAGAAAGCCUUGAUUGACUAGUGAAUGACUUAACUACCCUUCUGUAAACUAAUUUAUUUAAAAAUAAAUAUAAAAAUAUGUUUACAAUGCAAUAUUAAAUAUAUAUAUUAUUUUUUUGAACCCAAAUAUAUGUUUCUAUUUAUAUUUUUAUAUUGUAUAUAUUUACCUUAAUAAUAUAAUAAAAAUACAAUAUUAUAUUAAAUGCAAAACAAAUAAAGAAAUGUUAUGGAGGUACAAAUCAGAACACCCAAAGCAUGGAUGCUUUAGGCAUUUCAGUAGUGUUUUCCUUGCAUAAAUGAGUAGAAAGUUUUCUAGGCGUGGGUCCCACAAAAACCAUGCAUUCUUUUCACUCUGACAUGGAACCAAACAAUGAAAGCCCAGAUUUCAAGAAACUUUCUAUCCUCUUUACCUUCCAUCCUCUCUCUUUCCCCGGAAACAAACAGACCAUUAGAGUUUGAUCUCACAUUUCAUUACACUUGCACUACCUCUGUUUCUGCUUACCAUCACAGUUGGCACCGAUUCAUAGUUACAAGUAAGUAUUUGGUUAUUUAUUGUUUUUCUAUAUCAGAAGUAGAAGAAAUGAUUUUUCCAAUUAAUCGAUAUUCCAUUUGUUUGCAUUAGUCGAUUAAUAUAUGAAUAUUUUUUUUUUAAUUUGUUGCAUUAGUGCAAGAACAGUCUGAGUCUUGUGAUGAACUAGAAACAAAUGUAGAACAAAAAUUUAGUACUCUCUACAGUAAUAUUUAAAUUACAUUCGUCAAUCAAUUUGCAUAGCUACCAAACUACUGCACAAGAGAUUCUUCAAGUAGCCUGAAUUGUAGUUUUCUGAAUCCUUUAUAUAUCUGCUCAUAACAGUGGAACUUAGCAUUACAAAUGAUUUUAAAGAUGCCACUCGUAGUUUUGAUUUAACUUUACACCUGUGGUUUUCUGAGAUGCAGAUGCAAUAACUAAGCCAUUGAAGACAGAGACAUUUGAGAGGCUUAGAAGAAUGAUGGGCAUGGUUGAUUCAACAAACAUGAAUUAAGGAAGAGUGUUGAAUUGUGUUAAUUCAGUUAAGUUUGUAAGAAGUUAGUUUAGCUUGCCAAUAAAACAGUUAGGGUUUGUUAUAUGCAUUGCUUGCGUGUUAAGCAAUCUAUUGUAACAAAACCAUGUCUAUAAGUGGUUUAUAUGUUGUAUGCAUUUUAUAACAGAAAUUGAGAAAGCAAUAAUACUGCUCUCAUUAUUCUCAAACUUUUAAUCUCUUAAUAUCAAUCUCUUCUUCUCUACCUUUUCAUUCUCUCAAAAUCAACACAAAAUCACACUCUGUUCCAACAGAGUUGAGACAUUGGGAAUUGCAAAUGGCAUUGUCACAUGAUAUAUUAGCUUCAUGCCUAAACUUUAGUUAAUUAAACCUUAGCAUUCUAGUACUUGACUCAAAUUAAGUGCUAGAUGCCAUUGGAGGAAUUCUACUUAUGCUUAUCGAGACGCGCUUCUUAAGCCAAAAGAAGAGCAUCAAUUUUAACAAUAUUAAACGGCUUCCUCUCUUGUGUGCAACUUAAGUGCUUUCUCUUUCACUUGUGGUUAACAAUAGAGACCGAUUCCAAACAAUUUAAAAAUGUGAGACCCAAAAAAUGAUAUUUGUUUGAACUUCAAGUAUAUUCAAGAUAUCAUUGUUCAUACUUAUUAUGAGUAUAUUUUUCAAAGAAACCAAGACCACAACAUUUUUAUUCUCAAUAAGGGAAGCAGGAAGCACUCAGCAAUAUUUACAAAUAGACAAUUUUGUGACAAAACAAAUAGAUGGUUGAAAGUAUUCGCCAUUUAACCAAAUUCAAUGGAAAACUAUCAUUUAAAAAGUUCAACUGAGUUCAGAGUUUAGACGUAGCUAGCUUGAUAAGAUCCUUCCGAAGAAUUUUACCAGAUGGAUUUUUGGGUAUGGAAGAUAUAAAUGCCACUUUUCGAAUUCUUUUGUAUGGAGCCACCUAUAUAUUGAAAAAAAUAAUAAUUUAGUUUUCAAUCUCAUAGUUGAAAUCAAAACCCAAGCAUCUAAUAAAGAGUGUCAUUGUUGAGAAAUGUUUCAAACAAACAAACCUGCUCUGCAACAAAAUCCAUAACUUGGCUUCCGGACAAGUUACUUCCCACAUUCCUUACCACAUAUGCCAUUGGAACCUGCCCAGCCUCCUUAUCUGGAUACCUGAUAAUAUAUCACAUAUACAUACAAAAACAUUCAAUGGUCUUGAUAACAAGGAAUCAGAACUGGUUUUCCUCAUCAACCAAAAAAACAAUAAGGAAUCAGAAUUGGUAAAUGAAAGGCUUACGGUAUGACAGCAGCAUCUAAAAUAGCAGGAUGAGUAAGCAACAAAGCCUCUAGUUCUGCUGGAGGGACCUGUAACAUCAACCAAAAAACAAAGCCAAGAGAACUUCCAUGAGAUUGACAAUAUUUAUCUUCUUAAUCUUCACUAAUUGUGUGUCAGUAAACAAUAAUAUAUCUUCAGGUUAUUUAGUUGAAAUGAUCGAAACGUGGUUGUGAAUACUACAUUAGAUUAAAUAGAAUUGUUGAUAAUAACCUGAUAUCCCUUGUACUUAAUGAGCUCUUUCAAACGAUCGACGACAAAUAAGAAUCCAUCGCUAUCAAUAUAGCAAACAUCCCCUGUUUUUAACCAACCCUCUGGAGUAAUGGUCGAUCUGGUUGCCUCCUCGUUACUGAAAUAACCUGCCAUCACCAACCAUGUCUUACAAUUUAAUUAAAAUUGAAACAACAACAAUCAUGAUUAUUAGCGUACAUAAUAGAACCAAAAAUUAUGUGAGCUUAUAUCUAAUACCAGCAACUAAUUAAGGCUCACCAUUGUCACCAAGCUUUUUCCUUUUCAUCUAUUAUUUUAGUUAGUGUUAUAAACACCUUGGAGAGUCAUGCACGUUUAAUGAAUGGUUACUUCUUCUUUUUUUCAGUAAACAUUUUUUUUAAUUUUUUAAUUUAAAGACGGAAAGUCCACAAGUCCGAAAUCAAAUGGCAAAAUGUCAUAAUUGUGAGGGAGGACAUUGGGGUAGCAUCUAUUUGUGAGUUUGUAAUUACCGUUUUGUCAUUUAUCUUAUCUACCAAAAAAGAACUAUACACAUAAGUAUUCUAAAAAAUGUGUAUAUAACCAAUAUUAUUAAAUUCCACAUGUUCUAAUUCCCAUUCUCAUCAACUAACAAAUAUAUAAAACUCUGGAUUGCUAAACAAGUUUCCGGGUCUACCUCGUGAUCAAUAUUUUAAUUAAUUAAUUAAAAAAACAAAAUAUUAUAGCAUAUAAACUCGUGGAUCCAUCUGGAUUUUUGUCUUUCCAAUCUAAUCUACUAGUAAUUGUUUAUUCAAAGAGCGAUCUUCAGGAUCAAAAACAUGACAAUUAGAAACAAAACGACGACAUUUGAAAAAUAAAGAAAUCAAAUUUGGAAAGAAACGAACCUUUCAUAGUGGUGGGACCACGAAGCCAAAGCUCACCCGUCCGAUUAACGGGCAACGGCUGAGCAGUCUCAGUGUCAACAAUCAUAGCCUCCGUGGAAGCAGACACAAGCCCCGCCGUACCAUACUUACGACUCUCUUCCAAAGACUCGGUAGAAGCUCCAAUUCCAGAGGAUUCAGUUAAACCAUAACCUUGAAAGAUACUUACAUUAGGGUACUUUUCAAUAAACCCUUCCGUUACUUCUUUACUCAAAGGAGCACCACCAGAAACCACCGUAUGAAGCGAACUCAAAUCAUACUUUCUCUUAAUAGCAUCUGCGUUGUUCAGCAUAGCAACCAAUAUCGGGGGCACAAGAGGUAAGAAGGUUGCUCUGAAUUUUUCAAUCGAUGAAAGCAUGUCGUGCAUCUCGAAUUUAGAGAGAACAACUAUGGUUGAACCCAUAGCAAGAAGCCCCAUAGCAAACACCGCAAGACCGUAUAUAUGAAACAUCGGAACAGUACAUAUGAAAGUUUCUCUUGUCUCUUGUUCUUUACCGAACCUAGCCAUUACAACUUGAACCAUCGCUAUUAGAUUCUUGUGGGAAGAUACUACUCCUUUGCUUGGUCCUGUUGUUCCUGAUGAGUAGAGUAAUGUGGCUGUGUCAUUCUGGUUGACGCGCUCAGUCACUCUACUCAACUCAGGUUCUUUCUUCAUCAUUUCAUCCAGUGUUGUUGUUGUUGUUGAAGAUGAUGAUGAGUUGUUGUUGUUGUUGUUGGUGUCCAUGAGAAUGAUUGGAAGUGAAGGUGAUGCUUGGGUGAUUUUGGAAAGGAGUUGUUGAGUAGUGAAAGCAAGAACAGGUUUGGAAUCAGCAAUCUGUUUAGCAAUUUCACCAGAUGUAUUGAGAGGAUUGGUGGUGGUGAUGAUAGCGCCGAGGGACAUGACGGAGAGACAGACAACAGGGAAAUAGAUGGAGUUGGGAGAGAGGAGAAGGAUGACGUCACCUUUACGGAUACCCAUGUUGGAGAGUGAGGAGGUGACGGAGUCGACGGAUCGCCAGAGUUGUUGGUAAGUGAAUUGGUGGCCGGUGGAGGCGUCAAUGAAGGCGAUAUGGCCGUGAUGAGCGCGGGAGGAGAUGAAAGUGGUGGCAUCUAAAGAGUGGUUAGGUGGAAGUGGAAGGGGCUUUCUCUUGCUGUAGAAGAUUGAAUUGCUGCUGCAAAACCCACUUCUUGGAUCGAUCACUCUUCUGCUAUCCCUAUUCUCACCGUUUACCUCCAUCUUAAUCUUAAUCUUGUUUUGUGUAGUAUCAAACUGAUAUGCUAGUGUAGCUAAAUGUGUUAUUUGUACCGUCCAAUAUCAUCAUUUAUUCACUCACAUGUGAACUUUUUCUCUUUUGACUCCAACCUCAUUCGUCCAAACAAAUAAUAAUGAUUCACUUUUAAAAAGGCAGAGAAAACAAAAAAAUACAGAACAUAAACGUGCACUUUGACUGUUGCAGAACUGGUCCAAUGACAUGCAUGCAGUGGACGGUAGGAGUCUUCACCAUUUUUUAUUGGCUUAACUGCACUUUUGGACCCCUAUUUUUCUAAAAGUUGUGGUUAUGGACCUCUAACUAAUUUAAAUACAAAACAGCCCCCUAUGUUUUGAUUCUUUGACAGUUUUGGACCACCAAGGCAAAAAAAAAAAUAAAAAAUUGACACGUGGUAUCCACGUCAGCGUUGACCGAGUCAACAAUGGACUGAGGGUCCAAAACUGCCAAAGAAUCAAAACAUAUGGGGCUGUUUUGUAUUUAAAUUAGUUAGGGGUCCAUAACCGCAACUUUUAGAAAGAUAGGGGUCCAAAAGUGCAAUUAAACCUUUUUUAUUUCUAUAAAUAUAUUAACUUCUCCUUUUAAUCUUUUUAAAUUAUCCUUCGAUAUUUACUCCUAUCAAAUUUUCAAUCCCCUAUGUCUUUAUUUUUAAGUCAACACAUGUGUAUACUUUGUAUUUUUCAAUGAAAUUAUGUGUAAAAUAUUUUAAAAAUGUCUUCUAAAAACAUAGAAUUUUUUAACAAAACAUGAAUUUUUAUAUUUUAGCGGUUAAAAAUUAAUAUUUAAUUCUUAUUUUGUUAAAAAAAACUAAAUUUUUUUGAGAUAUUUUUAUAAUAUUAUAAACAUUUAUGCAAAAUUUUAUUCGAAAAUAUGAAUUUUACAUGAGUUUGCUUAAAAGGAGGUAUCAUAAGUGAAGAUGGAAAACAUUUAAGGUAUUAAAAGUCGAAGAAAAUUUUGAUGGGGACUAGAAGUCGAAGAAAAAUUGUAUAUGGAUUAAAACGAAAAGUUGGUAUAUUUAUACAGAUCUAAAACAUAUUUAACAUUUUCUUUAACAACAUAUCUCUAGAGAAAUUUUAUUGUCUAGUCGAAGAUAGAAAACAAUAUAUUAAAGGAAGUAUUGUUGUUUAGGGGAGACGAUAUUCCAAAGUUGAGAAGCUUCGUUUCAAUGUGAGUGUUUUAGCCAGAAAAAUAUUUGGUUAAAAAUGGAAAGUUGACCCUUAAGCUAAGAGUCAUAUAUACAGGUGAACUUUUAUGGUGUAGAAACCAGAUGUCUCCUUGGUCAGACGACUCCAUUGGUUUUGUGUGUUAUAUCUUCUUAUUUUUCGUAUAUAAUUACUUGUUUUAUUCUUAUUCUACGUGGAAUUUUUUUACAGUUGAUCUCGCAAGGAAGUACAAGUAAUAAUUGGGUGGUUAAAGUUUGAUCGCUCCUCUGCAACAUUCUCAAUCAAUUUUUAUUUUUGCAGGAUUAAGACGAUAAAUCGUUGAUGAUGGCUACUCUCAUUCACUGUUGUCCCUCGUUCAACCAACGUCGACCCACAAUUCAUAUGUUAUUAUACUCUUCUUGUUCUUCUAAUAACUCGCAUAAAGCAAUCAAUUUGACCAUGUGCUUAAGCCUUAAUACACAUACACAACAAGAAGCAAUUCAUGUUUGAUUUUCAUUUGAUUCUUUGUUUUACAUUUGUAAUUUUGAUAUAGUUUGCAUAGUUUAUAUUUUGUUUUAUGGAUUUUUGUGUUUUCCCAUAAUAUUCGUGUCUUACGCCGUUCAAUAUGAAUGUCGAAGGCGGCGCUCAGGACGCUGACAUGGGCGACAAUGGAGACCAGCAGGACGACGAUGGAGGGAAGCAGUUGGUGGAGCAUUGGGUUGUGGUCAAGAGACGAGCCAUGAUUCGGGCAAUAAUAAAUAGACACAUAUUAUGAUCUAAAGCGUAAGAUUGAUCCGAUGGGCAAUAAUAAACCAAAGUCAUGUGACUUUCCUGCAAAAAAAGUCAUGGAAUUCAAUCUGUUCUCAUUGAUUUUGGUGUUGGGUGUAACAGCCUGAUUUUCGUUAGAUUUAUUUUUAAUUGUUUUAAUGUGUUUAUAUGUGCUUGUGUGUGAAUUUUAUCAUCAGGUGCAUUUUCAUGGGUUUCCGUGCUAGAGGGGUAAAUUAGUAAUUUAUAGUGGGGAUUAUUUUUAGUGUUUUAGUGAGAACCAUUAUUUUUUUACUAAGUUACUGGUGUGAUAAAUAGUUGUGAACCGGUAAGUGACCGUUGUUAGUAUUUUACCGUUAAGUGUAGAAACAUUUUAGAAUUGUGAUUUGGUGGGUUAAGCCCACUAAGGCAUUAGGGUUGAGCCCAUUUGAGAAUAGCAUAUAUAAACCUUGUCUUAAGAGAAAAUAGCAUUCAUUUUUCAUUUCACAAGAUUUUUAGAGAGAGGUAGAGAGAGAAAGUGCAAGAGAAGAGGAGAAGGGUUAGAAGAGAAGACCUAAGAGGUGGUGAAGAUUCUAGGAGUUAAAGUGAAGCUUGGGCUAGGAUUUGUGCUAACUAAGGUAAGGGAGUUAGAAUUCAAUCAUAAUCAAUUAGUUGUAAUUUUUCAUUAAUUGCAUGAUUAAGUGCUUAGUUGAAUAAUUGAUUAUUCGUUCAUGGUUGUUGAAAUUCGUGCUUUGAUUAUGAUGAUAUGUUUGAAUGCAUGAAAUUAGUGAUAAUUGAAUUGUUGUUGGUGAAAUUGCAUGUUCAUAGUAUGUGAAAAUGUUAUAUUGUGAAUUGUGCUUAAAUUGUUGAAAUGUCUUAUGUUGUUGUUGAAUUAUGAUGAGAAUCAUGUUUAAUUGAUGUUGUUGUUGUUAAGGAAUAUUGUUGUUGAUGAUUCAUGGCUUGGGUGUUCAUAAAUAAUGAUUUGAUGAUGUGAAAUAAGUUGUUGUUGUUGGUUUGUAAAAAUGGGUUGAUUUGGUGAAUUAUGUUCAAUUGACAAUUGUUUUCAUGUUUGAUGUGUUCUUGGGAACCCUUUUAGUUGUUUCGACCUGUAAACAAACUUUGGAAACAUAUUUGGGCAUUGGGAGAUCAAAAUUGAGAAUUUUUUGUGAAAAUGGGUUGAAACCCGUAAUAUUUUUUCUGCAGAAUUAUGACUGUUCGCUUAAGCGAACAAUAAGCGUACGAGUAAGCGAACAAUCACAGUAGGUUCUAUGACUGGCUCGCUUGAGCGAACCAGAAGCGAAUAGCUAAGCGAACUUUUGUUGUAGCUUCUGGAACUUGUUCGCUUAAGUGAACAAGGUGGUCGCUUAAGCGAACGUGCCAGUUUCAGCAACCUUUGAUUUUCGUUCUGGGUCUUAGAGGGCCAAUCCGAGCUUUGUAUAAUACUUAUUUCAACUUGUUUAACCUAUGUUUGAACUCCUAAACUUACUGGAACAUGUUUUACUCAUUCAAACUUGAGAUUUUUCAUUUUGGGUUGAAACUUGAAUAUUUUUGGGAAUUUUGGAUUUUUGUCGAAAUGAACUUUUGUGAACUACAUGAGAUUACAAAUUUAACCUACAGUUCAUAUAGACUUAGGUAAGACUUGUAAAGUUGGUCAAACAUCUUAAUCAUGUUAAACUUGAUAUUUCUGGUGGAAAUGUGGAAAUGUGAACUUGAGUUUUCUCAUACGAACUUAAGCUAUACUUUGAACUAAUGUCUAAUAGUUUGUAAAUGGCUUAAGCUUUUGAUUACAUGAUUGUUUAAGAUUAUUUUGCGAGUUUUCAAACUUGAAUAUGUUACCUUGUUUUGGGGAAUUAUCAAUGUUGGCCGUUUGCCACUUGAUAUGGAUUUUAUCGGGAAUGGUUCUUUUAAGCCAAUUAUCUUAUGAUCUUUCGUGACUAGCCUUAUAUGACUAAAUGAAGAUGUGUGAAUGAAUUGUUAUAUGUUGGAUAUGAUAUUUAUCAUAACGUGUUGUAUUUUCUCUUUACUUGGAAUAUGAGAAAUAUUUGGAGCUGUGAAACUAUAUGAUGUAGUUGAUGUUGAAUGUUAUUGAUGAUUAUGGUGAUAAUGUGAUGAUGACUCUUAUUUGAAUUAUGACUUGAAUGUUGUGUGGACGUAAAUAUUUGAUAAUGCAAUUGUUGUGGAGAUGAUCAAUAUAUUUGGAAGUUAUCAUUUAUAUUGUCGUGAAAAUUAUGAGGUGAUUUUGCAUUGCUGAGUCUUUGCUUGUAUGUCCAUGCAUCAUAGUCGUGUUGAUUGUUGAGUAUUGCAGCUGUAAAAGAGAGGUGCUCUUUUACUUCGGUGAUUAUGUAAGACGGAUGUGAAAUCUUACAUACGAUGUUUUUGUUGCAUCGAAGGUGACGACCUUGAGGUGAUUUGGUACUGUUGAGGCAAAAUCCCUAAUUAAUUUUAAGGAUAAUAAACGAAUAUGAUUAAAGAAUUAAUGGACUUUGAUUAAUUCCUUGGUAUUUAACUUGUGCUCUUGAGUGUUUCACUAAGACAGGAGCAAGGUUUAAAUCAUAUCAGGAAUCAAGAAAUCAAAGGACAUUUGAAUUCAUGAUCUAACACUGAGGUCAGAAAGUUAGAUCAAAAUGUUGCUCGAAGAUUAGAAUGUUCAAGCAGAGAUCAGAAGGUUGUUCUUAUACAAGCCAAUAAUCUCAAGAACUUUGAUCAAGGUCAUGCAAGGCAUAUGUGACAUGGAUAUAUGUCCAGGAAAGUACAUUUGCAUGGAUCAAUCAAGCAAUAAAGGCAUAUAUAAGGAUUAUGUAAAAAAAGGAUAUUCAAUGUUAAUUUAAGACCAUGAACAUUGAUGUACUAGGAAUAUUCCACAAGGGAAUAUCAUCCUAGAUGUUAAUAUCACUGCUCUUCAUUGUUGUUUCACUAUUAGGAUUUGAUUACAUCAAAUGGUAGUCUUACAAAUCAUCCUAAGUGAAACAGAUGGAACAUUCUGAUGGUCAGAAUGUUCAGCUCAACACAUGCUUACUUUAUGAACAGUACAGUAGGUGAAAGGCAAAAAGCAAAAGCAAAACAAAUAUGUCUUGUUCAACAAGAGAUAGACACGCAUGUGAGUUGCUACAGUACAAGGACCACACAAUCCCUCAAAGCAUGGGCAUGAAGAUGCAGAAUCCCAAUAUAUCUUUCUUGCACCGGUCCCAAGGCAGAUCUGGGAAAGUAACUUUAUGAUGUAUGUGGAAAAACCCAUAUUUUGGUUAUUGCCCAGAAACUCAUAUGAAAAGCAUAUGACACGCCCAGAAAUUCAUGUGUUCAUUCAUACAUGAUGAACCCAGAUGAAGAUCAUGAUGAACCCAAAUGAAGAUCAUCAUGAACACAACAACAUUCUGAAGUUCAUCAGUGAUCAUAAUGUUUGCCCAAAAUUUCAAGUAAAAGCUUGUGGGACCCAGGACACAUGACAUAACACUAUUGGACACCCUACAACAACUAUAUGAGCCCAAAGACUAUGUAAAUAGAGAUCAUGGCCUUAGCAAAACUUGGACCAUUACAAAGCAUACAAGAAAACAACUGAAAUUGUUUGAAGCUCUUGCAAUUUGAAUUGAUCAUCAUUGAAGGCUCUUUUUACCUUCUUUGUAGUGUAAAUCAAUUCUCUUCUUGUUAUCUCUCUUAAAGAUAACUUCUUCUUCCUCCUCUUCUGUUUGAUUUUCAAACAUUCAAACCUCUUACAAAUUGUAAACAAAAUCUCAUCUAGCUUUAGGGGUACUAAAGUGUUAGUUUGAGAAAAGGUUGUAAACGUCUAAGUAGUUAACUUAGCAACAAGGUGCAAGUCUGCUGAUGCUUAGAGAAUACAGAGUUGUAAUUGUUCAGGUGAACAAAGAUUGUAAGGUGCAGGAUUUGAGAUGUUAUCUCAAGCAUCGUAGUGGAAACUCUCACAAUCUUGUGAGGAGUGGACUAACCCACAUUGGGGGAACCUCUAUAAAUCUCUGUGUGUUUAUUAAACUGUUUUUGUGUAUGAACUUCAGAACAUUCUGAAGUCAGAAUAUUAACUUAACAAUUCCAAGUAAACUACUUGAGAAUCACUUUUAAGUUUCAUGAUAAUUUUUAAAGGGUCACAAUUCAAAUCCCCAUUCCUUGUGACUAUUUUAUCUACUUCAGGUACCACAUGCAUAUAUGUGUCGAACUAGGUGCAUAUCAUGUUGACAUGAUUCGAUAAUUACGAUCCAUUCGUUGAUUUCGAUAUUUUUUUUGUUUGUAAAUAAACGAAUGGAUCGUAAUUAUCGAAAACUCACAUUCACUAAUGGUUUAGUCAGGUUGUGAACGCCAGACGCGAUAUUUAUUUUUUGACAUUUGUUUAAGUUGAGUUAUGACUUGUGUAACGUCCCGGAUUUUAAUCCAUGACAUUACUAAAAAAAAAAUAUUACUCUUUUAAAAAGAAAAUUAUUUUCAAAAAAAAAAAAGUAUGCAUUUACUAAAUUGCUUUUUAAUAAAACAACUUAAACAAUGUUCUUGAAAAUAAAAUAAAAUUUAAAGGUACGGAUAUUCAUUUAUUUCUUUAUGGAAUACAAAUCAACUUUAUAAUACACCUAAAAAUAUUUUGAAUAAUAAAUACCAAUAUAAAACCCAUUUUGGUCCCCGCGCAACGCUUCAAUCACACAUCAACUUCAUAUUUCAAUCUUUGAUACCUACACCAUUUUAUUAAUGUAAGGGUCAAUUUUCGAUUCCACAUGGGAUCACCUAAACACAGAAAAAUGUCAUAAAAUAAUAAUAAAAGUAAUCAUCACUAAAAAGGAUUAGAAAGUAUCAAAAGAAUAAAGUACCAAAACUCUUUUGUAAAUGUUUAUGCAUGAAGUGCAUGAUAUGCAGGACUCAAAUGAUCCGGAUAUUGUCGUGUUAACGCACACAGUCACGACUAAAAAUGAAACACUCAAUGGUUCCUGCAAGGCCCGCCACCCAAUGACAUUAGCCCAAUAAAACUAGACCACUAAAUGGUCUCUGCAAGGCCGUAGCCCAAUAAAACUAGACCAUUGAAUGGUCUCUGCAAGACCGUAGCCCAAAGACUUCAUGAAAUGUUAUGCGACUCAUUGUCACCAACAAAAUAUCCAAAAAUAAAACCAUGAAAUGCAACCAACCAACCUCUAAUAUUUUAUGAACCACAAAUCAUUUUUAGAAUCAUAUAUAGUUAUCAACAUGUCAAAUCUAAUAAACAAAUUCUCAUAACCAUCAACACAAUAUUCAAUCAAAAUUAUAUAAAAUCAUUGAAUAGAAUAAAACAUAGAAAAACUAAGUCUUUUUAAUGGAUAAGAAUUCUACUACUAUUUCACAACAUUUAUCCGGCCUAAAAUGAUGGUGUGGGGGAAAAAACCCUUACCUUAGAUGCUUUCUUUCGUAAGGAUAAACUAUCAUAGCCUUAAGAGUUGCUAGGGACGUUGGUGGCGUGAAUGAAAUUGUAAGAGAAAUUUAACAUAACAAGGAUAUGUUAAUGAUGAGGGCGUGAGGCAGAUGAUUAUGUGUACAAAAAAAUAUGUGGCUUUAUGGUAGACAAAGGUGAGGCAUCUAAGACUUGUUCUCGGCAGUAAAUUUAUGGUAGCAAGAUAUCUCCUUGGGAAAUGAGAGUAAGGAGAAUCAAUGUAAAUUAAAUUAGUGCUUGUUGUAUCAAGAGACAAAACGCAUGACAAAUUAAAACGGAUUGAUUUGGUUCUUUGACUAGUUUAAUUUGUGAUUAGGAAAGAAUAAUAGACAUAAAUGUGAACCAAAUCAAUUUUAGUAUUAGUCCUAAUACCCUCUAAAUAGGAGUUGACGUGGGCACAAUUUUGAGAAGGCAAGGAUGUAUGUAUAUAGAAGGAAGGUGAUGUAAAAGAGGAGAUAUAAUUGUAUAACAUAUAAUUUAAUAAAAAUUAAAUCGACAUAACAUUGUUCCAAGACCCAAAACAUAUGGCACAUCAAUGAGGGAUUAAAUAUGGUCAAUCGUUAUUUAUUUAGAGUCAAACAAAUGGGACGAUACAGUUCGUUAGACAAAUAUUAUGAUGCAUAAAAAAAUAUCAAAUAAUUAAUAUAGAAUAAAAUAAAUCAAGAACUUACUAAAGGAUAUAAAAUAUUGGGAUGUUACAACUUGUUGACUAACUGUUAUUUAUUUUUUUGGGUCAAGUCGUUGAUUAUUUAUUCUAUCAUAUUCCAUUUGUUUUUGUAAACUUAUUUAUUUCUUAGAAAAUUUUAAAGAGUGUACUUAGAACAUCUGUUAAAGAACCUGACUCUUGCGCACUUGUAUGUGUGAAAUGAGUUUCAAUUGUAGUUUGCCGUUAUCUAAAAAAAACUAGUUGGAUUAUCUUUUUGAAGACGAAAACUAGUUGGAUUUUUAUUAGGCAAAAUUACACAAUUCUUCUCUUAAUUUAAUUUUAGACAACAAUUUCUUCAUUUAUAUUUUUUUGUCUGAAUUUAUGUUAUAAAAAUGUCAACAAAAUUCUCCUAUUUUUAUGAAAAAAGUAAUCAAAAACUAAAAUUAAAAAUCAUCAAACUCAUAAACAAAUCUAAAUUUUUAUCAUGCAAACUAAAAAACUCAGAUUUCAUUAAAAAAAUUUAUAAUAUAAAAGAUUAAAUAAUGCCUUAAAUAAUUGCCUUAUUAUUAUCUCUAAUAUCUAAUGCAAUGCGUAUUUCGAUCGGUUGGAUUAAUCGAACGGUAUGAGUGCGACGGAAUAAAGUACACCGGUAGAGGAAGAAUGCCGGUCUGCCCUGACGACGGACGGGGUGAGCAGGUUUGCAGAAAACAAUUAACGAUUUAUUGAGUAAGUUAAGUUUUGCAAUAGAGCGUUGUUGUUGUUGUUGUUGUUGUCGUCACUGUACUGUGGAAAUAUGCAUAGACACGGACACAGAGCUACUCUUGCUCUCCGCUAUUCAAUUUCAACUUGCAAAUGUCAAAGAAAUCUCACAAUCACAACCACAACCACAGAAGGUAAUUUAAUACUCCUUCAUUCCUUCACUAUUUAUCAUUCAUUCAUUCACUUCAACUUAUGUUUAUUGCUUCUGCGCCAGGAUCUUCUAUGCAAAUGCAAAUGCAAAUUGUGAAGGCACUCCGCUCCGGUGACAGAAUAAAGGCUUCCCACUUACUGCUCCAUUUUGCUAAUACAACCCCCCACUCAUUAUCCGCCAAUCAUUUUCUUCCUAUCUUUAAUUACUGUUUACAAUCUCCUGAUCCACUGGUAUGUAUCUAUUCUAAUCUAAUGCUCACUCAUUCAUUAUCUACCUCCUGCUCUCUCUAUUUUAUUUAUUUCAACAUUUCAAUUCCUGCUGCAGUUUGUUAUGGACGUUUUCAGAUUAAUGGAGUUUAAACAAAUUACCAUAAAUAACAAAUGCUCCUCUCUUAUCAUGCGAGCUCUGAGUAAAGGGGUUUACAAGAAAGAGGCUUUCAGCAUCAUGGAUUUUCUUUCCGAAACUCCGCAAUUCUAUCCACUUCUCCCUAUCUACAAUGGUAUUUUAAGGUCCUGCACUAAAACCCACAAUUUAAUUCAAGCAACAAAAUGUUUGGACUUGAUGGAAAAGAAGAUGAUAGGGAAGAAUGAAGUAACCUAUACUGCGCUUCUCCAGGUGUGCAAUGUGCAUAUUAAAACAUAUAUUACUCUCAACAACACAAAUUUCGUAGCUAAAUUUUGAAAACAACAAAAGGUUUUCUAAAACCAAUGGGUCCUUAUUAUGUCUGAAAGAACUUUCAUGUUUAUCGAAUUUGUGAUUCAAUGUGAAAAUUGCUAAUCACUUGGACCAAGAUGCAUGUUCUUAUUAUUAUUGUUAUUCAUAGGAUGGGAAAUCAUCACUUUGUUAUAUUAUUUGACCGAACCGUCUAUCAGUUUUUCUGCCUUUCUCCUUGGUCUUAAAUAGAGAGAAAGAAAGAAAUCCAGAAAAAAGGAUCUUGUUGGUUCGUUAUUGUUACUUUCUUGUUUUUGUUCUUAUGCCAACAAUCCAUUUGUCCACUGAUAGUGGAUUUAAGACAAGGAAUCAGAAAAUGAAACUUUGUAUUGCCAACUUUUAUGGUUCUUAAAUGCCCUGGAAUCAACUAACAACACCGUGAUUUAUUGCGUUAGCUAUUUUGUGAUAACGUGUUUCUAUGUUUGAAUGUGUUGUCUUUUUAUUUUUAAUGCUUUUUAUGCAACUAGUAUCAUAUGUCUUACCCUGUUUCUCAGCUUGCAGUUUUGCAGAAAAACUUGCCUGCAGUCCAUAUAAUUUGGCAUGAGUAUAUCAAACUUUACAGUAUGAGUACCAUUGCUCUGCGCCAGUUCUUCAAAUCAACAAUUAACAGACAAACUCCCCUGGCCUAAUUAAUACAGUUUGGCCUGCGUAGGUUGUGGGUCCAUAAUUUUUUCUUGUGUGCACGGUGUACACCCUCUAAGUUGGGUCUCGAGUACUAACCGUGUCUCUCAAGGUCAAAGGAAAGUUUUACUGAAUAGCUACAAGACCAGCAGUGCUUUGUAGUACUUGAUGGUGGACAGAAAAUAGCUAGCAAGAACAUACACUAACUGCUAUAGAAAGUAGAAUUUGCCGUGGAUGAGUGAUAUAAAAGCAAAAUAACAUAAUGGAAUGGAUGUGUUUGAGAGAAAGUUGGACUAAUACCUGACAAGGAAAAUGAGUCUUGCCAAAGAUGGUAUGGAUGUUGAGGAGAAGACCGAUAGAGGGCCUGGAUAAGAAGAGUUCAUCAGAUGGAGGAUGGCUUUAUAAACAUAAAUAGAGGAAAAGAAAACACUUAGAUGAGAAACCAUGAAAAAAGAGAUCAAUUCAAAUGUCCGUUUUGGAAACUUGUUUUUUUGGUAGAGCACAAUCACGUGAAUGAAUUGAUCAAGGUUUCUAACCUUACCUUGUAUGAAAAGAAUGUUGUUGUUGUCAUCAUUGUUGGUGUUUAUUAAUGAGAACCAACUAAAAUGCUAUUAUAUAAUGUUUGAGUGCUCGCAAAGCUCACUGGGCUGUGUUGGUUCUUUUCAGUUGAAAUCCCUUGGAGAAGAAGGGAUGAUAAGAGAGAUGAUCCAAUAUUUACAUGUCGCAGAGAAUCUUUUCAUAUAUAGCAACCCUUCAUUGGGAACAGAUAUGUACAACAUCGUGUUGCAUUAUCUUGUUGAAGCCCAAGAAGUAAGUGGCUCAUACAUCAUUACUUCUCUUUUUUGACACCAACUUUGUGAAAUGGGUAUGUUACUAUGCAUGUUUCUGGAAUAUGAUGUUUUCCACUUAAUAUGCAGAGCAACAUGGCAAUUGAAGUUUUCAAGAAGAUGAAGUUGUGUGGCUGCCACCCUGAUUCCACUACAUACAAUACAAUGAUUGACUGUUGUAGUGUUAUAAGAAGUUAUAGAUCUGCUUCUUUGUUGAUUGCAAUGAUGAUACGGGAAGGGUUUUGUCCGGUGGUUUGUACAUAUACUGCUCUCAUUAAGGUUCUUCCUGUUUAAGCACUUAUAGUGCACUCAAAAUUAUUAUCUUUUUGUCAAAGUUUUUGCAGUUCACUUGAUUUAUAUUAAGAGAGUCUAUUGUGCAGGUUUAAGAUUCUAUAGUAGCUUUUGAACUUCUUAAUCCCCUUCCACUAAUCUAGUAGCCUACCUGAAGUGACAAAUGCAUGCAUUUAGUAUUUCAUAUUUCUGAUGGUACAUUACUUGCAUAUUAUUUACUCAAUUUGUGCAGAGUUAGAGGUUUUAAUAAUAAUAGAUAAAAUAUGAUGACAUGUUCCCUCUUCAUGCUCAUAGCAUCCGAUAUUUAAAGCAUUUUAUCUUGUUACUUCAGACAUCUAAGCUGAAGGGAGUUUGAACAUAUAAAAUCCACUAAAUCUUUGUGUUAUGAACCCUUGGAUCGAGUCAUAGGUCCAGGCACGGUAGAAUCUAUCUUUUGACCAAUGGUGAAGGCAAGAAGCAGAUGCGUGUCCUUGACAGUCUCUUUUCAAACUCUCAACUUUUUCUGAGAAAUAAAUCUUGAUUGUUCCAUCCAAUCCAAGGUAGGCUUUUUAAACAGCUUACAGAUAGAAAUGAAUCCUGAUUGAUUAAAAUCAAAACUACUACAGAUAAGUAUUAUAUCAUACCAAAUCUUAUCAAGAUAAAUAAAUCAAAACUACCACUGAUAACUGAUAAGGAUUAUUUUAUGGGAAAUGUUAACUUGUGCCCAAAACUUGAGUAAUAUUUAGACCAAAUCUUAUCAAAACUACUACUACUACUAAUGAAUCAAAUAUAGUAAUAUUUUAUUGGAAUCCGUACAUUGAAUUUAAUUUUUAAAUUUGUAAUAAAUUGAAUGCACAAAACUUAAGUGAAAAUUUCUACUUUUGGGUUCCUUAACACGUGCCUUUAGGACACAAGCUAGCAUGACCCUUAUUUUAUAUAAUCUUAUCAAGAAAAAGAAAGAAUAACUUCAAAUUAAAAAGAGAAACCAAUCCCGACAAUCAAAAUUUAAAAAGGUGAGAAUAGGGAUUGGAGUCAAAAGAGAAAAAGUUCACAUGUGAGUGAAUAAAUGAUGAUAUUGGACGGUACAAAUAACACAUUUAGCUACACUAGCAUAUCAGUUUGAUACUACACAAAACAAGAUUAAGAUUAAGAUGGAGGUAAACGGUGAGAAUAGGGAUAGCAGAAGAGUGAUCGAUCCAAGAAGUGGGUUUUGCAGCAGCAAUUCAAUCUUCUACAGCAAGAGAAAGCCCCUUCCACUUCCACCUAACCACUCUUUAGAUGCCACCACUUUCAUCUCCUCCCGCGCUCAUCACGGCCAUAUCGCCUUCAUUGACGCCUCCACCGGCCACCAAUUCACUUACCAACAACUCUGGCGAUCCGUCGACUCCGUCACCUCCUCACUCUCCAACAUGGGUAUCCGUAAAGGUGACGUCAUCCUUCUCCUCUCUCCCAACUCCAUCUAUUUCCCUGUUGUCUGUCUCUCCGUCAUGUCCCUCGGCGCUAUCAUCACCACCACCAAUCCUCUCAAUACAUCUGGUGAAAUUGCUAAACAGAUUGCUGAUUCCAAACCUGUUCUUGCUUUCACUACUCAACAACAGGUUUGGAAUCANNNNNNNNNNNNNNNNNNNNNNNNNNNNNNNNNNNNNNNNNNNNNNNNNNNNNNNNNNNNNNNNNNNNNNNNNNNNNNNNNNNNNNNNNNNNNNNNNNNNUGAGGCCAUGACCCAUAUGAGGGAGCAGAUCGCGUCGAUUUUGACCAGGAGGAGAGCCCAAAGGCCGAGGAGGAGGCACCAGGAUCAGGACCAGUAGUACUAUUUUCCUUUUUUAUGACUUAUUUUUUAGUUUUAGUCUUUUGAUGACAUUGAGUUAUGUAUAUUUGUAUAUUUGUAUAUUUCUACUUUGAUGACAUUAUUUUUAAUUUCAUGGGCUUUUUUUACUUUGUUUAAUGUACAAAAAUGUUGGUUUAAUUAAGUUGUGCAUUUGCACCAAUAUUUAUUUUUUAUUUGAACUGUUAUGAUGAAUUUUAAAACUUUGUGUAAAAAUACUGUUAGAAUGAUUUUGAAAUGUUUUAUAGAUGAAGAUUUCCUCGGCAGUUAACUACCGAAAUUGUUUAAGUUCAGAUUUCCUCGGCAGUUAACUACCGAGGUUUUCCUCGGCAGUUAACUGCCGCCGGUUUCCUAAAAACUUCGGUAGCAAACUGCCGAAGGGCAUUUUCGUAUUUUACUCGUGUGGCACAGCCAAACAACAUGUGGGAACAGCAAUUCUCACAAUUGUUGCCCUUUGGAUUAAAAUAGUAAACGGUUGACACCUUGUUGACACUAAAACUCAACCAUUCAUUUAAAGUUAAUCAAAGGCUUAUAAUUCUUAUUACAUGGUCUCCAUAAAUUUUCAACUUUCUUUAUGCACCGAAUCAUAAUCACGCUUUAUAUCAAUUUAGUUUCUGAAAAACCAACAAUGAAAUUAGCCGAUCAUGGUAAGGUAACAAAGCCUGAAAUCAUGUGUCCUCACCUAUCUCAGUUAGAACAUCAAAGCCAUGGAUAACUCCUGAAAUUUGUAUAUGCACCGAGGAUUGAUAACAAUUCAAUUGAAUUCAAAGAGUUUUCCAUGUUACUAACACAAUAAAAUUAAUUAUUCUAUAUCAUUAUUUUACAUUUAGAUGUGCAAAUUCAUUCAUGGCUAAUCACCAAAUCGAGAUUGAUACAUGAGAUCCUGGAUUUGAUACCGAAUUAAUCAAGAGGGAAGAGAGAUGCAAACAAGAAACAAUAUUAAUGGAUAGUGGCAGAUGAUAACAAACUUUUUAAAAGAAAUAAAGAGUAUCAAGAUGUGACGAUGUUUCUAAUUUCAUGUUCCUAAUUUCAGUUUUUCAAAAAUAAUAAUUGUAUGCCACUAAGAGGAAGAAUACACAGAUAGUAGAAACAUAUUAACCUUUGAUUAAAUAAAAUGUACAGUUGAGAUUUAGUGUCAACGGAUCUUAUAUAUAUAUAUAUAUAUAGUUUUGCUAGAAGUCACCUAUGAAGGUGUAUUUUAGCAAUCCACACCUCAAGGUGUGAUUUUCACUUUUUAGUUAUAACUUUGCUAAAAAACACCUUCAUAAAAAUUAGUUAGUGUCUUUUAACAAAUGCUAAUAGAAUAACUUACUCCAAAUUUUAACCUUUAAUUGCAACUUUGAGUAAUGAUUUAGUAAGCUUUAAUUCCAUUUUGUAUUGUAGUCAACACUUAUCACUACAAAAUAACAAAACAAUAAUUUGUAGUUCCUAUGAUCCUAUCGUUGUAAUUGUUCAUGCAAAAUCCGACGUGGAUCGCAGGAGUUAGUUGAAGAUCUGUUGAACAAUCGGGAUCGUUCUAGGAUAUAGUGCUUCUAUGUGAUGGGGCGCACAUGUGACCUUCCUCGAGCACUCUUAAGGCAGUGUAAUGGUAAGUGGACCUGUUGAAUUCAACCGUUGAUUGAGCCAAAAUCUGGUUCGGAAGAAAAUUAUAUCCCGACAAACAAAGAAUAAAUGUCAAGAGGUUUCAGUAUCCUGUUACAAUUAAAAAAAAACAUUAUAAAAACAAUUCAAUAUAAGAGGGCAUCAAAAUAAACUCAAUAUGUAUGGAAUCCCACCCGCCAAAAAUAUUAUUAUGCAUAGAAUUAUUUUUUUUGACAAGAAAUCAAUCAGGGAAAGGGAAUUGAACCCGACGUGAAUUGCUAUUAAUGCGCAUAGAAUGUUGAGCUCAAAAUGGCGACAUCGAGCACUAAAUUCAUUUUGGGUCAUGUUAACUUAUGCUUUAGGGAACAUGUUAAACAUUAAUUUCAUUUAUUAAUGGUAAAAAUUUAUUGAAAAAAUGAAUAUUAAACUAUUUAAGCAAUAAAUUAACACAAUUUCCAAUACAUAAUUUCUAUUAGUGGAAUUCUUAACAUAUGUCAUACGGGCACAAGUUAACAUUUCCCUUAGUUUAGGCUAAAAAUAAAUAUGAAUUAAAAUAAAAUACAUUCAGAAUAUAAUCUGAUAAAUAUUCGUAAUUAACAAUGUAAUGUGGUUCCUUAACUAAAAUAAUGUGAUUUGUUGUGAAUUCGGACUCAAAAUCACACCAAUACAAACUAUGAUGUGUGGAGCAAAGGAAAGUAGUAACCAAUAUCAAAGUGAACACAAGCAAUAAUCAACAAUAACAACACCUAGAUCUAAUCUAGGAAUCAAAGUGAAAAACACAAAAUCACAAGCACAAGAUAAAGAGAGAAGAAGAGAGAAAACAAACACACCAAAGAUUGUUCACCCAGUUCGGUCCAAACUUGACCUACUCUGGAGGAGAGAUUGAUCUCUCCAAUCCACUAUCAAUGAGUUCUUACAAAGGGAUACAAAUGAGUUACAAGAAAUUAGCUUAAACAAGCUCACAAAGAACAAACCUAAUUUCUACCCAUUUUCCCAAUCUCACAAAUGAACAAGACACUCAAUGAUUUUCACUCACCCAAUGUGUUUACAAUGUUUCUUAACCCAAGAGAACUCUAAUCAAAGACCCUUAACCCUAAAGUUAACUCCUUUGAUUUCCCAAGUUUUCCUCUCUUGAAGUUCUCUCUCCUCUUCCUUCAAAAAUGAGCUGAAACACUUAAAUAGUACACAGUGACAGACAAAAAUCGCGUCGCGCCUAGGAAAAUCGCGCCACGGUUGAAGCGUACGACCCAAGGUACGACAACCUUAUCCACAAAUCGCGUCACGGCUGCACAAAAUCGUGCCACGAUUUGCUUCAGCAGAAACCAUCCAUUCUGCCAGCAAAAUCGCGCCACGCCUCUGAAAAUCGCGCCACGAUUUUCAGCUUUCACAACAUCACAAUUUGAAGGCAAUUUCAACAUGAUUGUAUAUUUGUUUUUGGUUGGUGUCCAAAUUUAGGAUCUUUUUUGGUAGUGGCCGGGGAUUUGAACCCCGGACCUUGCAUAUCUUUAUGCAUUGUCCAAUCAACUGAGCUAAGCUCACGAGGAUCCAAAUUUAAGAUCUAAAAGGGGUUAAAGAUAAUCCUUUUUUAAAAUAAUAAAAAAAGAAUAUUUUGAAUUAUAAAAACUUGUAUUAGUUAUAAAGGAAGUAUUUACAAUUUAUGCAAUUCUAAAAUAAAUUGAAAUAAUUAAAUAGGCAUAGAUAUCCUUUUGAUCUCCCUAUUUAAACAAAAAAAAAAAAAAAAAAGUUUUGAUCCCCGUGUUUUAAAAUCAAUUUAAUAUCUUUUGUCCAUCAUCUCAUUUUUAGACUAUUAUUUGAUGAUGUGACAUAUUUAUUUAUGAUUUAUAUAUAUUUUUGUUGACGUGUAUUUUUAAUCUGGCCUAAUAAAUGUUGCAUUGUCAUAGAUAAAUGAUGCACAUCAUUAAAAUGAUCCAAAUAUUAGAUGAUGGAUCAAAAUUCAGAAUGAAAAAAAAGAAAGGAUCAAAAAUCGAUUCUUAAAAUAGAGGACCAAAACAUUAAAUUUUCUAAAAUAAGAUAAUAAAAGUGCAUUUAAGCUUAAUUAAAAUUAUAAAUAAGAUAUACUCCAUCCAUUUUUAAAUAUAAGUAAAAUUGAUUUUUUAAGUUCAUUCAUUUAAUUUAAUGAUGCAUGUGGUUACCAUAUCCAUAUGCAUGUAGUUCCUAUGAUCCUAUCGUUAUUUACCGUUCUAAGACAUUAACCCAGCUUUGUUUUCGCUGUUGUUAGGCUUGAAAAUCCUGACGCAGAAGAAGUCAAAGAGUUCGUGCAAAAACAGGUUGUGUUGACAGAUUCAGUAUUGAAGACAUGUGAUUGUAGAGCCAAACUUGGUGAAACUAUCAAAAAGUUGUUUGAUCAUCCUCGUUAUACCGCUCCUUUCAAAAGAGGUGCUAAUCACUAAUACUGGUCUUCAACCUCAAAGUGUCCUUUAUGUUCAGAUACGUACGUUGCCUUUCUCAAUCAUUCACUUUUUUUUUUGUUUUUCUUUUCAAGUAGCUUGCUAAUUUACAAUGUAGGGAUGGGGAAGUCGUAGAUGCUGGGACUGAGACUACUGUUAACCUUUAUCAAGAACUCUACUAUCAUUUUCUGGGUACGGAUCAGUCGGAAGAUAUUCUGUGUUGGAGAGAUCUUAAGAACUCUAAAUAUAUGUUUGACUCAAGUGUCACUGGUGAUGGAAAGGUACCAUUUUUUCCGUGCUUUCAUAUAAUUUUCAAUCAUCAAUAUUAUCGAUACUCAUUCAUUUUGUGUACAUAGUAAGAAAAUGUGUGACUAGUUUAGUAGUUAUUGUUCUUUUUAAUGACAUGUUUAUUCUUAUAGUAUCUGUUUAAGCCUUGCUAGACAUAUUUUUCUAUGCAAGGAUGAGUGUUAUAAUUAAUUUCAUGUCAUAAGGUAGGUAAUAGUUUUUUUUUUGGUAAAUAAAUAUAGGGAUCUUCACAUGAAAGCCUAAACUUUCAAACGUUGCAAUAUUCUAAUUAUUGUCUGAAAAACCAUUAAGAAAAAUAUUGGUAUGUAUGCGCAUAUGCUUCAUGAGAAAACAUAUUCAUUAAUAAUAGCAUUGGCAGUUACCAUACGCUGAUAUUAUUUUUCCUUUACAUCGAACAAAGGUCUUCAUUUUUUCUGUCUUGCAAAUUUGAACUAUGGUUUCUACUAGAUAAUCAUCAAAUUUGUAGUUCCUAUGGUUAAAGUCAAAGCUUUAUAAGUCAGGCAUAAUUUAAUUUUCCGUGGUCAGGUGCAUUAGUGUGUCCAAAUACGCAAUUUCAUUAUGUUUAUGACUUCAAAUUUCCUAAGAAACUGACUAUUUUUAUUUUGCAGUAUGUUCUGCUCUCUAUUAAUGAGGGGUGUGAUCCGGUUAACAAAAUGUAUUACUUUGACUUGUCCGAACUUCCUAAUGGUCUCGAAGGUUUUCAGAAUGAAAAUGCCUUCCUUCCUUUUGUCGAGCUUAUUGAUAACUUUGAUGCAAUGUAUCAAGCCAUUGCUAACGAUGACACUGUGUUUACAUUUUUAACCAAUAAAAAUGCUCCAAAAUAUAAACUAGUCCGAGUAGAUUUGAAAGAACCAAAUACUUGGACUGAUGUUAUCCAAGAAUCUGAAAAAGAUGUACUCAAGGAAGCAUACGCCGUAAACGGUAAUCAACUUAUAGUGAGCUAGCUACUUGAGUGAUGUGAAAUAUGUUCUGCAAGUAAGAGACUUAGAAACAGGUUCCCUGCAGCAUCAAUUACCAAUUGACAUAGGCACUGUUAGUGAAAUUUCUUCACGGCGUAAAGAUAGUGUGGUUUACAUUGGCUUUACAAGCUUUUUGACUCCUAGUAUCAUAUAUCAAUGCAACAUUGGGAGAACACAGAUUCCUGAUAUGAAGAUAUUUCGUGAGAUUGUUGUUCCCGGGUUUGAUCGCUCUGAGUUUCAUGUCAAUCAGGUAAAAAUGAAACUCACUCACGCUUAAAGUUGAAUUAUAGAUUAGGCCCUCUGAGUUUUAAUUAUUCUUAUGUGAGUAUGGCCAUUGUUGUCUAUUGGAAUUUGGUUUGUCUUAUUUCAUUUCAUUAGCUUGUGUUUGAUUAUUUCAUAUGCAAAAUUAUACAUUUCAGGUUUUUGCUCCUAGUAAAGAUGGAACCAAGAUCCCAAUGUUCAUUGUUGCGAGAAAGGAUAUUAUUUUGGAUGGUUCACACCCUUGUUUAUUAUAUGGAUAUGGCGGUUAUAACAUUAGUCUUACACCAUCUUUUAGCGUCAGCCAUAUUGUCCUAGCAAGAUAUUUAGGUUUUGUUUUCUGCAUAGCAAAUAUCCGUGGCGGUGGAGAAUACGGAGAGGAAUGGCAUAAAGCAGCAUCCCUUUCAAACAAGCAAAAUUGCUUUGAUGACUUCAUUUCUUUGGCUGAAUACCUUGUAUCUACCGGUUAUACCCAACCCAAAAAGUUAUGCAUUGAAGGCGGAAGCAAUGGUGGACUUCUAGUCGGUGCUUGCAUAAAUCAGGUUGAUUCAUUUUCUAUUCAAUUGGAAGUUGCAUUUGUAUUGUUCUCCCUGCAUUGAGCUAGCUCUAUUUACGAUUGUGCCCCAUUUUGAACAGAGACCUGAUCUUUUUGGUUGUGCAUUGGCUCAUGUUGGUGUUAUGGACAUGUUACAGUUCCACAAAUUCAUAUAGGUUUGUCUUGAUGUGUAUUCAUCUGUUAUUUUGUGAUAGUAAUAAUGAAAAUUAAUUUGGUGUUUUGUAAUUCAGGUCAUGCUUGGACUUCAGAAUUUGGUUCUCCUGACAAAGAGGAAGAAUUUCAUUGGCUAAUCAAGUGAGUUUGGUUAAACCUGUCAUUAAAUAUUAAGUUGAAACUAUAAUUUUGCAGACUUUGAUGUAGGGGACUAUUUGUGAUGUGAUGUGAUAUCUUAUGAUAAUAGUUAAGUAAGUUGUUUUAGGUACUCACCAUUGCAUAAUGUCUGGAGACCAUGGGAGCAACAUCCAGAUAAGUCAAUUCAGUAUCCACCAACAAUGCUAUUGAUAGCUGAUCAUGAUGAUCGUGUUGUGCCAUUGCAUUCAUUGAAGCUGUUAGCGGUUAGUAUGCUUUCCAUAAUUUAUGAAUUUAUUUUGGAAGCUGCAAACUUUUAACUUGUAUUCCAAAUCCAAAUAUUGAGCAGACCAGACCAUGCAGUAUGUCCUUGUUACUAGCCUAGAUAAAAGUCCGCAGACGAACCCAAUAAUUGCUCGAAUUGAAUGCAAAGCUGGACAUGGAGCUGGGCGUCCGACACAGAAAAUUGUAAUAUACUACUAAUUUGUUUUCUUGUUAGCUUCGUUGUUAUUGUCUUGGUAAGUUAUACUGUACUAAUAAGUUGUUGACUGCAGAUUGAUGAAGCCGCUGACACGUACACUUUUAUGGCUAAGAUGUUAGAGGCUCAUUGGAUUGAGUAGAGCUGUCAAAAGUAAUGUGCGAGAUUUCAUUUCUUCCUUUUCCUCUCAAUCACAAUUGAUAACAAAGUUAUUGGAAAUAGUAGUUACUAGACUUAUUAGGGAUAGCAGAUGUGUACCAUUAAGGUACCAAUUAAAAUGUGUCACAUACCAAUGUUAUUUUAUAAAUGUUUUAUUUGAUGUAUUUUAUAAAUGCUUUAUAAAACAGGUUUGUUUCAUUUUCUAUUCAAUUUGAAGUUGCAUUUGUAUUGUACUAUUGUACCUCAUUUUGAACAGAGACCUGAUCUUUUUGGUUGUGCACUGGCUAGCUAGCUCCCUCCUUCCUAGGGAUUAUGGCAUGUAUGUAUUCAUCAUCAUUUGAGCUCUCCCUUCUUUUCGUUAUGAUGUGGGAGGACCUUUUUCUUGGAUAAGGGCGUCAAGGGUCCGCUAUGUGAAGUCCCGUGACCGAUGAUCCCUCACCAGGAUUCCCUUAUGAUAUGUUGACUCAUCUAUCAUUUUUCAGGUUGUCAUGUGCUUUGGUGUGACAAUAGCAUGUCACUCUAAAUUAUUACGAUGAUACACUAACUUGUGUGUUUGAGUAUCAUACCUUAAAAAUUGGUAUUUUUUAUCGAGUAGUCUAAUGACUAAAAAUUCAUAUUUUAAUCCUUUAAAAGAAAUUCAUAUUUUAAAGAUGAUUGUAUGAGAUUCAAACUCCAAUAUAAUAUACAACGUCCAUAUAAACUGGGUUAAAUUGACGGAACCAAAAAAUUAAUAAAGAAUAUAUAAAUAAAGAAAUAUAUUAAUUAUCCUUGUAAGUGAGAGGACACAACAUAAUGGUUGAAAAUGGCGACAUAAUCCUUCCCUCCUUUCUCUGUAAUGUGAAGUGAGAGUCUCUGAAAGAGAAAUUUGGUCCCUAUUGAAAGCGAAACAAUGUUGUCAUUUAGUGUCCAUUCCCGCCACAUUCUUUUUCAUUUUUCUUCUUACCGUAGCAGCAUCAGAUACCCAAACUUUCUUCCUCGUUUAUUUACCACCAACACAUUAUUCAAAUCUCAUUACUCUUCUUCUCUUAACAAUAACAGCUAUAGAAGAAAAAUGGGUUCACUUUCUGUGUUUGAUGAAACCAUCCAAUAUCCCAUUGCUCGCAGAAACGACUCCGUCAUUGACAACUAUCACGGCGUUAAUGUUCCCGACCCUUACCGUUGGCUUGAAAAUCCUGAUGCUGAAGAAGUCAAAGACUUUGUACAGAAACAGGUUGUUUUGACUGAUUCAGUGCUGAAGACAUGUGAUUGUAGAACCAAACUUGGUGAAACAAUCAAAAAGGUGUUUGAUCAUCCUCGUUAUACCACUCCUUUCAAAAGAGGUGUUAAUCACUACUUUUACUUCCACAAUACUGGUCUUCAACCUCAAAGCGUCCUUUAUGUUCAGGUAACUUACUUUCUCAUCUACUAUUUUUGUUUCUUUUGUUUCAAGUUGCUUAGUAGCCAUAAACUCUGCAACCUUUUAUCAUCUGAGCUGCACUGGACUUCUAUUCAAGUUAUAUUUAUGUAUCCAAUUUAAAUUAGGUAAAUUUAGUAGUAGUACCAUUGUGUUAAUUAUUUCAGGAUAGUUUCGAGGGUGAAGCCGAGGUUUUGCUUGAUCCCAAUGUCCUUAGUGAAGAUGGUACUGUUUCACUCAACAGCUUCUCGAUUAGCCAAGAUGCUAAGUUUUUGGCUUAUGGGCUCAGUUCAAGCGGUAGUGAUUGGGUCACCAUAAAGGUCAUGCGUGUUCAUGACAAGGUUGUUGAGCCUGAUACUUUGUCUUGGGUCAGUAAUAUCUCAUACUCUUUUAGUAACUUAAAAUUAGGAUACUCAAGAGUUGAACGGUGAAUCAAGAUUGAUUGGAAUUUAUUUUCAUUCAGGUUAAGUUUUCCUCUAUUAGUUGGACGCAUGAUAGCAAAGGUUUCUUUUACAGCCGCUAUCCGGCUCCAACAAUCAAGUAAGCCGUUACUUUCAAAUUGUUAUUCUGUUUUUCAAUUCAUAUUUCCGGUUAAGUAUUUAUGUGGAGAUCUUCUCAAUAACAGUAAGUGAAUCAUAGCGUUGCUGAUGAUGGUAGGAAAGACUAGAAUCAGUCUUCCUUUUUCUUGAUUGAUUACUUUACUAAUUUACAAUGUAGGGAUGGGGAAGUAGUAGAUGCAGGGACUGAGACUGAUUCUAACCUUUAUCAUGAGCUAUAUUAUCAUUUUCUGGGUACGGAUCAAUCACAAGAUAUUCUGUGCUGGAGAGAUCCUCACAACCCUAAAUAUAUGUUUGGAGCAAGUGUCACUGAUGACGGAAAGGUACUGUUCUUUCCUUGCUUUUGUAUGGUUGAGAACAUGUGACUAAUUUCCUAAAAAACUUACUGCUUUAUUUGAUUUUGUAGUAUGUUCUUCUCUCUAUUGAAGAGGGUUGUGAUCCAGUUAACAAAAUAUACUACUUUGACUUGUCCGAACUUCCUAAUGGUCUGGAAGGUUUUCGGAAUAAACAUUCCUUCCUCACUUUUGUAAAGCUUAUUGAUGAUUUUGAUGCCAAGUAUCAGCCCAUUGCAAAUGAUGACGCUGUGUUUACAUUUUUAACUAAUAAAGAUGCUCCAAAAUAUAAACUAGUCCGAGUAGAUUUGAGAGAACCAAAUACGUGGACUGAUGUUAUCCAAGAAUCUGAAAAAGAUGUACUUGGGUCGGCAUAUGUUGUAAACAGUAACCAACUGAUAGUAAGCUACUUGAGUGAUGUGAAAUAUGUUCUACAAGUAAGAAACUUACAGACAGGUUCCCUGCAGCAUCAAUUACCAAUUGACAUAGGCACAGUUGGUGAAAUUUCUGCACAGCGUGAAGAUAGUGUGUUUUUCUUUAGCUUUACAAGCUUUUUGACUCCUGGUAUCAUAUAUCAAUGCAACCUAGGAACACGGAUUCCUGAUGUGAAGAUAUUUCGUGAGAUUGUUGUCCCUGGGUUUGAUCGCUCUGAUUUUCACGUCAAUCAGGUAAGAAAUUAAGUGAAGAAAAAUACUCAAUCAUGUGCAUAUGUUACUGUAUUUCCAAUUUUGUAUUAUAAAUUAGGUCCUGUGAAAUAUCAUUACUCUUGAGUCUUUUAAUGAGUGUGGCCAUUGCCGUCUUUUGGAAUCUAUUUGUUUAUUGUUGUUUCAUUUGCUUGUGUUCGAUUGUUUGACAUAAAGCUACACAUUUCAGGUUUUUGCGCCUAGUAAAGAUGGAACCAAGAUACCGAUGUUCAUUGUUUCCAGAAAGGAUAUAAUUUUGAAUGGUUCACACCCUUGUUUGUUAUAUGGAUAUGGUGGUUUUAACGUCAGUCUUACACCAUUUUUCAGUGUCAGUCGUAUUGUCCUUGCAAGGCAUUUAGGUUCUGUUAUCUGCAUAGCAAAUAUUCGUGGUGGUGGAGAAUACGGAGAGGAGUGGCAUAAAGCAGGAUCCCUUUCGAAAAAGCAAAAUUGCUUUGAUGACUUCAUAUCUGCAGCUGAAUACCUUGUAUCAGCCGGUUAUACCCAACCCAAAAAGUUAUGCAUUGAAGGUGGAAGCAAUGGUGGACUUCUUGUUGGUGCUUGCAUAAAUCAGGUUUGUUUCAUUUUCUAUUCAAUUGGAAGUUGCAUUUGUAUUGUGCUCCCUGCAUUGAGCUAUCUGUAUUUACUAUCGUACCCCAUUUUGAACAGAGACCUGAUCUUUUUGGUUGUGCACUGGCUCAUGUUGGUGUUAUGGACAUGUUACGGUUCCAUAAAUUCACUAUAGGUUUGUUCUGAUUCGCUCUUUGUAGUGUCUACUAAUUUGUUAUUUUGUAAAAGUAAUGUUGUAUAUUGAUUUGGUGUUUUGUUAUUCAGGUCAUGCUUGGACCUCAGAUUUUGGCUGUUCUGACAAGGAAGAAGAAUUUCAUUGGCUAAUCAAGUGAGUUUCGUUAAACCUAUCGUUAAAUAGUAAGAUGAAACUGUACAUUACAUAAACAGAUAUCUGAAAGUUUUGCUAAUAAGUGAUGCUGCAGGCUGCUAUGUAAGACUAUAUAUGUGUAUGCGACAUCUUAUGAUAAUACUAUGGUGUUUCAGGUACUCACCAUUGCAUAAUGUCCGGAGACCAUGGGAACAGCAUCCAGAUAAGUCGAUUCAGUACCCAUCAACAAUGCUAUUGACAGCUGAUCAUGAUGAUCGUGUUGUGCCAUUACAUUCAUUGAAGCUAUUGGCGGUUUGUCUGCUUCCCAUAAUUGAAUUUAUUGCAUUCUGAUUUAUUGAGUUAUGAAUUUAAUUUGCAAGCUUCAAAACUUUUAACUUGUAUUCCAAAUAUUGAUCAGACCUUGCAGUAUGUCCUUGUUACUAGCCUGGAUAAAAGUCCCCAGACGAACCCAAUAAUUGCUCGAAUUGAAUGCAAGGCUGGACAUGGAGCUGGGCGUCCGACACAGAAAACUGUAAUAUUUUUUUUUCUUUCUAGCAUCCAUUUUGUAUUGUUGUACUGGCUUGGUAAGCUAUACUUACAAGUUGUUGACUGCAGAUUGAUGAAGCCGCUGACCGGUAUGGUUUUAUGGCUAAGAUGUUAGAGGCUCGUUGGAUUGAGUAAUGUGGUGCAACUUCAUUUCUUCCUUUUCCACCCAUGACAAUUGAUAAGAAAGAAUCAGCAUUAGGUGAUGUCUUGAUGGCAGUGGCAUAGAGGGAUAGUUAUUUUCAGUGAUUUCUUUAGGGGGCGGGACGUUCUCAUUAGAAAAUUUAUCACUCUAUUAUAUAUAAAAAAAAAUGUAUUUCCCCCUUUGUAUUAUAGGAAUGGAACAGCCUUCCUUCCGUGAAAUAUUUGGACAGUAUAUGACCAUUGAAAACUUUAUCAUGUUAUUCUUUUGGGUGGCAUUUCACAUGGGAAAGGUUAAUCCUUUUCCACCAUGGGAAUGUUGGAUUCAAAGAUUAGAUUAAGUGAAGAACAUAUUCUUAACAUGCUCUUUCAACACUAGAUUUUUCUUCAUACUAUCUUUCAACAAUUUUAAAAUUCUAAAAAUUAAUUUUUAGAAAUUAAAAAAAUAUAAAAAAUUCAGAUAAUUUUUUUUUUAAAUUCUGUAAUUCAUUUAUUGAAUGUUAGAAUUUUUUUUUAAAAAAUGAAAAAAAAAUUGUUCAAAAUUUUCCAGAAUUUUAUUUUCUUAGAAAAAUAAAAAACUUUAAUUUCAAAUUUUUUUUUAGGAUUCUUAUUUUAUUAUGAAAUUAAAAAAUAUAUUCUUUUUAGAAAAAUAAAAACUUAUCUUAUUUUCCAAAAUUUUAUUUUUCUUUGCAAAAAAAAAUAAAAUUCUAACAUUCGAUGAAUUACAGAAUUAAAAAAAAAAAUUAUAUGAAUUUUUUUAUAUUUUUAUAUUUUUUUAAUUUCUGAAAAUUAAUUUUCAAAAUUUUUAAAUUGUUAGAAGAUAGUGUGAAGAAAAAUCUAGUGUUGAAAGAACAUGUUAAGAAUAUGUUCUUCACUUAAUCUAAUCAUUGAAUCAACUUUUCCAUGGUGGGAAAGGAUUAACCUUUCCCAUGUGAACACACACCAUUCUUUUGUGGUGACAUUUAAUUUGGGAAAGGAGACUUCUUUCCCAUCAUGGGAAAGUAUUUUUUUGACCAUUAGAUCAAAUAUAGAUCAUAAUGUUAUCAUAGACACUCACCACAAUAUAAUGCACCUCAUUUUAUACCUUUCUUCUUCUCCUUCCCUCUUGUUCCUCUUCAUCAUCUCAAAUUGUGUUCAUAUAAACCCGGAAUAAUGUGAACAAACAAGCCUAUAAAAAACAAGAACUGAUUGAAUCAUUCACCAUUCAACAUUUAUUGAAUCUCAAAUUAAAUUGAUUGAAUCCUAUUAUUAAUUAAAAAAUAUCUACAAUUAAAUGAGUUAAUAUGAAGGAAAAAACGCAGGAAUAGAAGGAUUGAAAUUGAACCCUCAAAUUCACCCAUAAUUUUUUUUCUUCUGCAAAAACAACAAAUCUCAUAACCCCAAAUCAAUACAAGACAACAAGAAUCCAGGAAUAACAGCAACAACACCAAACGUGAAUUAACAGAUCCAAACACCAAACAUGAAUUAACACCAAACGUAAGCAGCAGAAGCUCCGACGGAAACAGAUCUGGAACCGAGGCGGCGACGACGGUGGUAUUUCAUGAUAAUUGCUGUUUACUUUUGAUGAUUUUUACCAACCUUUUUGGCAACAUAGAAAACAAACUAUAAAAGGGGGAAUUGUGAGAAAAAUGCAACAUUGAAAUUUUUUUCUUCUCUUUUCAAGAACUGUGUUUAUUAUUAAUUGAUAGGGAAUCAGCGAUGAGGAUCACGUUCACCGGCUUGAAGUUCUUGACCAAUAGAAUAGGAAUCAGGUGAGAUGGUGGUGGGAAAAGAGGAACAUGAGUGGUUAGAUUUAAUAUUGAGAGUCCAUAAUAAAGAUGUGUUAUACACUUGAUCCAAUGGUCAGAAAAAGCUUUCCCAUGAUGGGAAAAAACUAGUCUUUCCCAAAUUAAAUGUCACCUUCUUUUGUGAUUAAAGUAGAGAAAGUGGUGACGUUUAGCCUGGAAAUCAGGAGUUGUUUCCCACCAUGGGAAAGCUCCCUUUCUCAGGACAGCUGGCAUUAUGCAACCCGUUGCUAAAAAAAAAAAAUGAAACUUGUUUUUUAAUGUUUUUUUUUGUUUCUUCUUGUUGCACCCUUUAAUUUACUUUAGUGUAUUGUCUCUCCUCAAUUAGUUCACAUUCACAGAAACGAAACAUACAAAAUUGCAGGAAGAAAGUAACCAUAAGAUCUGGCAUAAAACAGCAGCAUAAAAAUUCAUCUUUCAUUUUGCUCCAAACAAUUCCAACAACCAUAUUCAAGAUCUAAGGUAAAUUCUCUAUUUUUAACAAAAACAAACAACAAUUUUUUCUUCAUCAUCAACAACAUUUUCCAAUCUCAAUUUCAACAACAACAACAACAAUCAUCAACAACAACAAUAACAUUUUCAACAAUCACAAACUCCCAAUCUCAAUUUCAACAAAAACAAUAAUUAUAUACUGUGUUUUCUACAACAGCAGCAACAACCUUAAACAUCCACAAAGGCACAAAGUUGUUAAAAGCAACAACGAUAAACCUCCACCAGAAGUUCACCGCGAAUCAUACAAUGGCAACGAAGUACACGCGCCGAACUUACGUAAGAUUUCACUGCUGAGAUUAUUAAUAGAAAGAUAAAGUUCCACGAGAGUCGAACAAAGCUCAGCUAAAUGCGUUGGGAUUUUUCCGGCGAAGUGAUUUGCCAGUGAUUUUGUUUCCUAUGACAGAUAAAAACUCUAUAUCAUGGUUGAGGAUCCAGGUGAACAAGCUGGAGAGGUUGAGAGAACCGAAACUCUAAUAAGUCUUCAUAUGGAUUAUCCUUUAAUUCUCCAGAUUUGGGUGAAACUAAGGUUGAUUUGGGGAUUUAUUAGUGAUUUAAAAAUUAAUUAAUUAAAAAUAAUGAAUUAGAAUUUUACUAUCAUGAUUUUCUGGGUUUUUAUUUUUUAUUUUAUUUUUAAAGAUGAUAAUUAAAGAUGAAGAGAAUAAUAGGGAAGAAUAUGAAGAAAUGAAAUGAAAUACUAUUGUUGUUUAAUUAGAAGGUGGGGACCACUGCUGCAGUCCACAAUGUCAUGCAACAAUUCACAACAAUUACCACGUCACAAAUCCUAACCAUCCAAUUAAAAAAUUAAUAAAUUCAUGGUUGUGGUUCAACUUUUUCAUGAAGGGAAAGAACUCCUCUUUCCCAUACUAAACCCCACCAGAGAGGUGAAAGUGGUUGAACAUAAACUUGAUCGAGAAUUUGCUUACUUAACAUCUUCUGAAGCAACGUGGGUCGAACCCCCUUUAUUUUGACUCAUUUGAGGUCCUUCUUUGAGGACAAUCCAUCUAUUGGAUUGGAUGGAUGUAAAUCACAGGACCUCUAUCAUCUGGUUACAUUGUUAGUUUGUAAUGUCCACAGCUUGUGGCGGGCAACUGACAAACCUUUAGGUUUGUGAUGUGAUACUUAUUUCUAAAGAGAUCUUAAAAACUUACAUAAAAAUGGUAACUACUUGUGACACUUGUUAAGUAAUCAAAUAUAAUAAAACUAUCUUGAAACUUUUUCAAUAUAAAAUUUACUUUUGUUUCCUUAACAAAUUUCUUAAGGACACUAGUCAGCAUGACCCGAACAUAUAUUAUUUAAGGAAUUGUAGACCUUACUUAAAAGCACUUAUGAAUUGGAUCCGAUAUAAUAUGAGCCUCCAUAUUAGGAUGCUACUCUUCACCUUCAAAUUUUCUAGAAAAAUCACGCAUACAUGUUUCAAAAAUAUACUUUUAGAUGAUAAUUAUUUUCCAAAUGUACACAAUCAAAACCAUGCUAGGAGGUGGCCAAUUUCGGCCUCCAUAUUAUUAUGGAACAAUAAUUCUCUAGAUUCAAUUCAACUGUGUUUGCUACUUCAGUAAUACCAUGUUCAUGUUACAUUGACACAAGAAAAGCAAAUGUAACUCAGUUUCAGCCAAAAUUAAUUCAUUCAAAAGUAACCAUAUAGGAGCAAAACAUGCAACAAUAGGACCAAUAUAAUAGGGUUGGCAGUACGAGAAGGAACAGUUCAGGAGAACAUGCUAGUUUUACUAGAACUGGAAAAAAGCUGCUCAACUUCAAGAUAAUAAUUGCGUCAGUCAUCGAAUUAUAGUUAGCUCAAGACUCACUCAGUCAAAAACUCAAUAUUUCACUCAUUUAUGUUUUUCUCAUCGCAUGAGAAACACACUUUUCAACAUGAAUGAACGGGAAUUUGAUGUUAUUAUUUGACUGAAAGUAAAGAAUAUGGAAACCGAAUUAUGCAAUGGACACGUCGUGUGUGAUUCAAAACAGAGCGGCCAGUUCCUGUUCAUCGCACAGUAGUUCCAUAAUUUCAUCCAAGUUCAAUUUUUUAAACUCACUUUUAGAAUAUCAUUUCAAAUAGUACUGGAGUCUACUGCAAAUAGUUAGUGCGGAAUGUGCGCGAGUGUUGUAAACUUCGGAAUAUCAAGUUAGAUUCAUACUCAUAUAUAAAAUAUCAUUUCCAGUAUGAAUUCAUGUUUAAACAAUAACACUGUCAAUUAUUCAAAAAAAAUAAAAAAUACAAGUAACACUCUCAAAACCAAUUCUAUCUAAAUCAAUAAGAACUAAGACUUAAAAAUUGGGGCAAUAAGAUACCCUUAUUAAGUCAGAAAACAUUCCAUUUUGAUGUCUGUCACAUCAAGUUGCAAAAUUUCAGCUCUACAACCCAACAUAGAUCCAAUGCUGCAAAACCAAAAGUUACGGAGAAUAAAUUAUUUCAAUUCCCAUAAGCCUUGGGUAUUUAUUUAGUUGAGGGCAUGCAGUAGUGUGUGUAUAUAUAUAUAUAUAAUUGGAUGUAAGGAAUAAAUAUUAUUUCAAUUCCCAGAAGUCUUGGGUGUUUAUUGUCAUACCUAGGAUGCGUGCGUCCAAGAUCCCCAUGAACGAACUCCUUGAUAUAGGUCCCAGCCUGCAGAGAUUUUAUAAAUUAGUGAUUGCAGAUUUGGCUGACCAUCAUGACCCAUAAUUAUUGAUGGGGUGGUACAAGGGGGAAUAGUACUCUUGCCAUGUCCUCUAGCUGGACAAAAUGGCAGUCAGUUACUCCUAUGUGAUAGUAAUUCCAUUUGCCCAAAUAAAGUACUUAUAGUAAAAACCAGCUUACAUAACUUUUCUGCCAAAUUGUCAACAUUCAUUGCAAAUCAAGUCUAACAGCCUAUGGUUGGAGCUACCAAAUUAUUGGUGUUAAAAACAUAACUGUGUCUAGCUCUAAUUUAAAACUAAAUUCAGUCAUUGAGAAUUUUCAUUUACAAUCAAUACAUAAGAGAGAACUUUAAAACAAUACCUGCGUACACAAAUGCAAAAGAAAAUAUUGGGAACUUCCAGCGAUUGUCUCUAGUUUCAUCCUAAAAAUUUGGAGAAACAGAAGGGAUUGAAAAUUUCAGUUAAUAGUUUAAAUGUGGCCUUGAUUGUGAGCUUGGCAUAAAAUUAUCAAUAUAUAGUCAUACCAAUGAAUGAUCUUUUCCCGCUCUAAAGGACUGCGACGGUGUAGCACUCUUAUUGGGGUCUUCUGCAUAACUUUCUGCACAAAACAAGAGAAAAUUACGUGGUUUCCAGAGUUGCAAUUUAAAACAAAAAACUCCAGUUAUGCAGAAAUCCCACAAGAGAUUAUCCCAAUGAUUACAAGCAUGAUCCAAGGGUAAAACAGACCUCGGUCAAGCUACAGCAAAACUUCAAAGGAGUCAAGAAUAUGAAAUUUAAUAUCUGGUUCAAUUUUUCAUUUUAAGUCUUUAAAUUUUUGCUUAAAUAGAUUUCAAUCUAAUCUUGAAGUUGUUACAUGGGUCCUAUUAUUUUCAAUAGUUUUUUGUAUAUAUUCUCUUAGUAAAAAAAUAUUGUUUAGUAAAAAAAUAUUUCAAUAGUAGCCACAAUAAGUGUCACUUUAGUAAAAAAAUAUUGUUUUAAAUAUGAAUGUCACUUUUAGUUUUCAAUGUAGUAGUAAUAUUUUUUUCAACUUGUACCAUCCAAAUAAUAUAAUGGAUAUUACUCCCAAAGCAUUAUACUUCACUUUGCGUUUAUGACAGUGGGAAACACACCAAUAGUUAAUAAGAAUAAUUUGGUAAAAUUACUAUUAUCUUCUUCUAUUUAUUGCAUUUCUUAAUAUGUGUGUAAAAACCUUAACGACAUUCAUUUUGAAACAGAGGCAGUACAAUUUUGAUACAAACUUAUGUGAUUGAUUGAACAUGAAACGAGUAGAUACAUCAGACAACAUGCAACGGAGGGUCAAUAUAAGCAAUGUUCGGAAAUGGACUCAAUGAGCAAGCAUAUUAUAUGGAUAAAUUACAGAUUUAAACGAGUAAAAUUUACAACCAGGAUGUGUUAUAAUAAAAGAUGACACAUCUUUGAGCUCUACUUAACUUAUAUCAAUCAUGCAGAGACCGAAAUAAUAACCAAAGUUCUGCCAGUUUAUGUUAAACUUUUCUUACAAAGCACAAGUUCGGUGACAACUUAACAAGUAAUAUACAACAACAUAAAACUCACCAAAUCCUUGAGUGAUGUCACAUGUUGAAGAUCUUCAUCCUUCAGAGGACGAGAAAUCCACACUAAAGCAGCAUAUUGCUUCUAUACAAUUUGAAGAUUAGAAUAGUAAGGAUGACUCGGAUGAAACAAUUAAUGAAUCAAAGCUGCAAAUCAUUGACUAUAAAAUAAGUAUACGAUUAAGAAGAAAAAUGCAAGACCUGCUUCUCAGCUUCGCCUUCACGCAUAAGGUCCCAGCCCUGACUCCCAACAAGUUUCAUAUUUUUCACUCUAACCUACAUGAACAUAUGGCAUUGUGCAUUUACUCGCCAUGAAAUAAAUAGCGUACAUACAAAUGUUAUCAAUUCAGCUAGAACAUUACCAAUUUAUUCUCCGUGGUAUUUAUCUUUUUCUCUAUAUCUUUUACAGACAAUUCAGAUGGGACUUGUCGAGCGUUUUUCACCUCAACAAGAAAUGGCCUGCCAGGCCCCAGCAUUCGGACCUAGAAGAUUAAUUACACAUCAGAUAAAUUUAUCCACCAAUAAACUUCAAAAAUAAUGCAUCAAAACCAUGAAUUUUAGUACAUCAAUAUCUUCUCUUCCAGCAGCAUGAAACUUGAAACUAUCAGCUUGGCAUGCUUGAAGUAUGUUUUCACCAAUUAUUUCCUACAACGUUACAUAAGUAUACACUAUUGUCACCUACCACAACCAACUUUAAAAGGAAGUAUUUUGUAACAAUUGAAAUUUGCAAGAGCAGACAGUACCUCAACUGACGCUUCCCCCAUUCUUUCAUCAUCAAUGAUCCAGCGUGAUUGACUCACAUUCCGUGAAUACUGUGUGAAAGUAUCAGUAUAAAUUUUAGGUUGCACGAGCUAGAUUCAAUCUUAGUCGAUCAUUACUUUGAAAGUCAUAGAAAUAUGCCAAUGUCCAGAAAAAAUUAUGGAAAUUAUAUUCCAUAUACGAGAAUCUCUUUCUGGGACAACUGGUCAAACAAAAGAAAGCACCCUUGCAUAUCACAUUAAAACAACAGUUGAACAUCUCUACAUAGUUUUUAGUAUGUGUAAUAUGCAUAUCAGCACAUUUGAAUAUGUCAGCUUAUUGGUGCCACAUUUGAGAAAACUGGUUAGAGUAUUUUUAUUUUUUUUACCUUCAGGUACCUUCUAUCAAAAUAUACAGGUAUUACACAAACAUGGCGAGAGAAAGGGAAGUUGAGAAAUAGUAAAUAGAUCAGCAUCAACAACGGCCAGGCCUUAAGAAAAAGAGGUAGUAAGGAGAUAGGAAAAAAGUGAGUGAAAAAGAGAAAGAGAUCAAAGACACAGAUGGGAACUCCCUCGAUUGAACAAAGUAUGGGGGGUCGAGUAAGAAAAAGAGGAACCAAUGAUAUGGCAGUAAAUUUUCCAUCUUGAUGUUCAAAAAGUAAAAAUAUGAGCACGUCAAAGAAAUGUUGAUAUAGUUAAGAGUUGCAAUAUGUUAGUUCAAUUAGGAAAACAGGGGAAUAACAUAAGAAAGGCAUUACCUUGAGGUAUCUUCCACCAAAAUAUAAAGGUGUUCUGUAGCAAGAGUAAGUAAAAUGGCAAGGUUGAUUUGCCUAAAAAGCAAGAAAAAUUAAUUAGCAAUAGAAUAAUAUAUAAUCAUAAUAAUAGACAAUGUCUGCCAUUGAUUAGCUUAGAAAUUUUGAUUAUUAUAGUAUGAAAGCAAAAAAAAAAACAUCAUUCAAAGGAAAAGAAUGAAGAAUUACCGUUUCCAACAAGAAUUUACAGCAAUGAGAGGAUUGAUCUUGAAGAGAAGUGGUGAAAGUAGUAUUGUGUUCAUCUAUAAAAAUGUGGAAUAAAUUGUGAAUGAAAGGAAAUAUAAAAUGAUUAUAAGGAAGACAAUGAUAAAAGUGGAGAAACCUGUUUUUCUUCUCUUAUUAUUAUUAUUGUUAUCAUCUUUAGAAGCGGUGUAUGUCAAACGAAUGUGGAAAGAAGCAUCCUGUUGAUUUGAAUUACAUCGACCACCGAGGAGAGUUUGAAGUGGAGGCAGUAGAGAAAAGUUGAAAGCAUCUUUAGCAGAGAUGAAAGUAGUAUUAUCUUUGAAACCAUAUUUGAUUUUGAUGUAUUGCCUAAGAGUGUUAUCGUUGUUGAGGAUAAUAGAAGGAAUGAUUAUUUCCAGGGAAAAGGAAUCAUGAUGAGAGUGAUAGCCUUGACGUUUAACCAUAUCAGAAAUGAGAAGAGGGACAUUUGUAUUAUUAUUAUCAUCGUGAAACCUAAACUGAAGGAUCCCUAAGCAAAGGGUGCAGAGUUUAUUAUUAUCACCAUAUGUUGGUGAUAGGGAUGUAAAAGCAUAGACGCUGCUGGCUUCAACUCUAAACACACGAAAGAUGCACCGCACACAUAACUGCCAAUCAAAUUUGAAAUUGAAAUUGAAAUUGCUUAGUAGUAAUAAUUACUAAUUAAUUAGGAAGAAGAAGAAGAAGUAACGAAAUGAUUGAUUACCCCUAGGGAGAGAAGAUCGUUGACGACGUCGGAAGGAAGAGACUUGAUCACUUCUUCUAACUCCUUCUGCUGCUGCUCCGACGACUCCAUUCUCCUCUCCCAGGAUUACACUGUCACUCAACUCUAACUCUGUAAACUGCAAAUUCAUUUUAUUCCUUUUUUUUAUUUUAUUUUAUAAAUAAAUUUGUACAAAUAUCAAAAUUACACGUACUUAUUUAAGUUGGAAACUUCUAUGGUACACUCACGGUACUCUUGUUUCACAAAAUAUAUAAAUUAACGAUUUAAUGAAAUAAAAAGGUAUUUGUCAAUAUUUAUAUUUAAAAAACAUCAUUUCAUAAGAAAAAUCAUCAUUUCAUUGUUUAUAAGGAUCAUAUUAAAAAAUUUACAUUUUGUCAUAAAAAAUAAUCAAUAUUCAUUGUUAUGAGUAAUAAAAAUUCUUAAAAAUUAAAUUUUAUUUCGUCGAAGCUUUUGGUAAAUAAAAUUUAAUUAUCUUAGUUGUCAAUGAUAGAAAAUAAUUAUUUUUCUUCAAAAGAAAAACUCAUUUAUUAUUAAUUUUACGACUUGGUGUACCGAUACACCCAAAUUUAUUGGGUGUACCAUAGAAUUUGUCAUUUAAGUUUAGUGGGGUGAGUGUGGUAAACUUGUUGUCUAAUAUUGUGAAAGUUAAAAAUAUGUCAAAUUAGUCCUUAGUAAUUUUUUAUUUAUAGGCAAAUUAUUCCCGGUAAUUUCUCAUUUAUACAUAAAUUAAUCUUUGUGUAGUUUAACUAUCUUCAGAUAAAAUGAUUUCUAUGACAUGACAAUUGUGUGGUGUCCAAACGAGGAUGUCACAUAAGCAUUUAUCGUUUAGCUCAUAUUUUGUAAAGGAAAAAGAUAUUAAAAUGAUAUACCUAUUAUAAAUUCAAAAACAUAUUUUCCUAUUAGGAAAAUUUAGUGUCUAAAAUUGAUUGACCAUUAUAAUUUGAGGACCAAAGUGAUGUUUUUACUCUCACUCAAACUCUUCUUUGCAUCCAUCAAAGCAUCAUGUGUUUCAAUUGUCAUAUGUCACAUUACUAUAAUGAAAAUAAAAUAUAAAUAGUAUUUUUGAUUGGUUAAAAAUUCACAUGAACCCACGAAAAGAGUGUGUUGCUAGCAUUUGUUAACAAAAGCAAUCAAACUGAAAUUAAAGUUCUGCAUUUCCAUAGCCAAAUAUUCUUAGUACUUUGAGAGCAGUUAAUCAGAAAAGAGACAGUCAAAACAUAGAGUGCUCUUCCAAGGUCAAAUUUCUCAUUACUUUUACUCUGUAUUGUGUGGUGGUAACAAAUAAUAAUAAAAUUUGGGAAGAUUAUAAAUGGAAUAUAAUAUAUUGUUUCUGUUUGCUUAUGAGAAAGAAUGUGACCUCGAGUAGGGGUCAUUUAUAGUUCAACAUCAAUAAUUAAUGAAAGCAAUCGAACAAUAAAAGAAGAAGCAGACAAGGUAGCUGCUUUUUUGAUCAUAUUCUUCUAAUAAAGGCUAAUUAAGUAAGUAAUAUUGAUUCAUGUGGUAGCUAAGUAAGUCAUCAAAGGGGUCGAGUAUGUCUUCCAGUUGCCCUACCACAAAGUAAUGCAUUCUUAGGAAUAGGGUAUUCAUCUCUGAGUGAUGUUGAUGUUGUGUAUACACGCAUAUAAAACUGUUGCCCAAGAUAUUGUCGUGCCCAAAAUUCUGACCUCAAGUUCCACAUUCCCACAUUGUCAAGUGGAACAUAGAUAGCAGUCCAUGACUUUGGAUAUACCUGAGUGGUGGAACGCGAAACUGCAUCUCGAAGAUUGUACUGGUUCCUUUUAUCACUUGUCCAUUGUCCUCCAUCCAUACUGCAACAUUCAUAUAUAGGUUAUUAUUAAUAUUAUGAUUGAUGCUGAUUUUAAAGAAAAUGAAAAUUAUCUAAAUAUAUGUGUUUGUGAUGGAAAAUCAUACUCACCCAACAACAAAGAAAGAGUAGCCAUCUAGAUGAUAGCUCUGAAGGAUGUCUUCGUCAUUUUGGAAAACAAUCUCAACAAAUGUUCUGUAGUCAGUUUGCAUAACAGAAGUGUCGAGGUAAAUACCACCACCACUAGGUCUAUCAGAGAUGCUUCCAGGACGGUAAACACCUGCUAUCUUGAAGAAAUCAGCCAGCUUAAGAGGAGUGUCGGGGGCAACAUAAGACACGCUGUUAAUUGCGUAUCUUUGUUUCCCAUUAACUUGUCCAGCUGAACUUGAUAGUACAAUUGUCCUCGUUAAGUUUAUCAUGCCGUAAUGGUAUGAUCCUUGCGGAUUUGGUCUUGGUCCACUUGCCGUCAGGUUUGUCCUAAUAGAACGGGCUUGGUUCAAGGACCAGUCGAUUUGGAUGGUGGGUCCACCGGGGGGUGGACCUGAAACUGGGCCUGCAGAGUUGCUGUAGCGAAGAAUUCCAGUGGAGGUGAGUACAGGAUUGGUAAAUCGAGAGGAAACAACAAUAUAAUAGUCUUGACUAGGUUGAUCUGCGGUUACUAGAACUGAGUAUGAUUGACCGACGUGAACGUCAAGGGAGGAAUAGGUGGUUUGGAGGGUGUGUGUUCCUUCCACUUCUACCAGCUUCAUCUUGUGGUUCUGUAUGCGAAAGUUGAGUGAAUUUUCCAAUCCCACGUUUGAUAUUCUAAGCCUGUAAGUCUUUCCUGUAACAUUUAUGACAAGUUUAGUACUAAUGUUGAGGAAAGCUAAAUAAAACAACAUUAUGAUUCUUAUUCACGUAGGUAAUGCAGUACCUUGCUCCACAUUGAGAGAUGAUCCUCCAGACCCACGACCAUUGAUAAGAAUUCCAUCAGGGAAAGGCAACUUCUUUCCGUUAUCAAGUUGGGCCUUCAAAUCCUGUCACAUAAUACAAUACAAUCAAUUUUACUGAAAAUGAAAAUCAUGGUCUGAAAAUGAUGAUGAAGAUAGUAAAUGAUUAGUUACCGUGUGGUUGGACUUGUACCAAUCUCCAAUGAGGACAGUGUAAUCACCAGCGGGAUCAUCGAAGGGAACGGGAAUUCUUGGCCUACUUAGAAUUCUAAUUCCUCCAAAACCACCAGCAGCUUUGUGGAAUGCAAGAGAUGGGAAAUAAUAGAAACUACCAAUUUGAUCUUUUACUUGAAGUAUGUAUGUGAAGUUCUUUCCAGGUGGAAUGGGACAUGUUGUUCCAAACACUCCAUCUUCGUAUGAGUUCCUUCUCUGCUGGACUCCAUUCCUGUGUGACAUGCCAUGUCAUCAUUUAUUAUACAUUUUCUUUCAAAUAAUUUUAAUUCUGGCUGGCUUGCAAGGUUAUAUGUCUUAUCAGUUAUUAUCACAAAUUCACUAUAAUUUAAAAAGUGGUCCCUAAUAUACUACUAUUUCACUUAAUCAAGGAGAUAAUUAGCUCAAUUUGAUGGUUAACAGCAAAGCAUGAUUAAAGUAAAUGGGGCCAACCCAAUUAAAAAGACUUUUGAGGCAAGCAAGCAUAGAAUAGAAGAAAUUCAAAGUGAUUGAUACUAGAAAGUAAUAGAGUAAACUUUCCAUCUCCAUAUACUAUAUGAAUAAAAUACUAAUUGAUAUAACAAGUGAAGCUGGUAGAUCUGGGUGGAUCCAUCCAUGUUAACAAAAUUGGCGGGUUGACCCACCAUGACCAGCAUAGUACUACAAGAGAUAAGAUGAUAGUAUGUGUGUUUUGUAAGGUUUCAUCAUUUUCCUAUCCUUUGCAGCCACACAACACAGUACAAGUGGUGUGACCCAACAAACAAACAUCCCAAAAUGUAGUACUAAAUAGUAUGAUGAAUAUGAAUAUAUACUAACUAACAGGAACAUCAUUAAAAGAAACCAACUAUAAUAACAUAACAUGCUUUCGUGUUUAAUUCUUUUUGUUAUUUAUACAUAUCAUAUGGUAUAGAAAUUAUAUAGGAAAUGUGAAAGGUACUAACCAUGAAAUGAGAAAAGGUUCAUCCAAGCUGUUGAAGACAUUGAUAAUGAGAUUAUCAUUUGUCACAGAAUGAAUGUCUGGUCCUGGGAAUUGGCCAUUGAUAAGUAUUCCCUGCAUGUGUGUCACAAAUUAAUCACAAUGACUCAGAUCCGAUAAGGUAUAAGGAUGAAAGUGAGAAUAUAAAUAUACCUGUUGGCGAACACCAAGUGGAUAAAUGUCACCAUAGGUAACGUUCCAGUUGAAGAACCUGUAUGGAUCUUCAGCAACAAUAAUAGUUGUAGUGAUGGCAAAGAGGUAAACACUAACACAUAAUAACACCAAGUUCGGUGCCAUUUCACUGAAUGAAUGAAUGAACUCGAAGUGAAGAAGCUAGAUAACUUAAUAAAGACACCUUUUUAAUAAUACUAUAAAUAAACAAAGGGAAGGGAAGUGGAAGGUGGAUGAAUAUGAUAUCAAAUGGGCACCGCACAGCACAUGGCCAGGAAUGGACAAAGAGUGUGGUACAGAGUGUAUAUGUAUCAUGUUUCAAAGAAUCAAUCAAUAUCAAUAUAUAUAUAGCCGUAAAAGGGUACUAGUAAAAUUAAAAUAUAGAGGGAAACUCCAACCAAUAGAUUUUCUUUUUCCCACAAGUUGACCAAUUUAAAUUCUAGUCAAAAAACCAUGUAUACACCUCAUUUUUAACUAUAUAUCAAUCAUUUAAAAUAUUAACUUUUACGAUUUUAAUAAAUAAAAUAACAAUUAAAAGAAGAACAAAUUUCACAAAUACCUGAUAGAUCAUUUUCUUUGCACUAUACUUUGUAUCAUAUAACAUUUUUUAUUUAAUUAUAUUAAGUCAAAUAGUGAGUCAAAAAAGAAAAAGUCAAAUGGUCAAUAUGUUUAAGAAGACACCUAUUUUUUUUUCAUUCAUAAAAUUCUUACAUGAGAAUUAAUUUAAUAAAAACCACGUUCCUUGUCAAUUUGAAUGGCAAACUUUUUUAAAUUUAAAACAAAAAAAUGUCUUUUUGAAUAAUUCAUGAAGAAAAUUCAAAUAUUGAUUUUAGUUUAUUUUAAUAAUUAUUUUGAAAAAUAGUUUAACGUAAACAUUUUAAGUUAAUUUAUAUUAUAUAUAAAGAAAAUAACAUUUUUCAGCUCUUUUGGACUGACUUUUUCCCUUUACAAAAAUGUCAUCAAUUUUCAAUACAAAUAACACAUGUAACAAAUAGAUAAGAAUAAAUUUAAAUAUUAAAUAAAAUGUAACGAACACGAUAUAAAUAUAUUUAUGUCUAGUUUUUUCUUUUAUCAUUUAAAAAGUGUAACAGACUAGAUGAGUAUAUUUAUACUUACUUUUUUAUUAUCUCAAUUAUACUCUUAAACAACUUUUUCUAUAAUAAAGAUUGUUGUUGGUGUCACAAAAAAAAAGAAUUUAUUUUAUAUUUUUUUAUUAUAUUGUUGGUGUCAUUGAAAUAGAUAAUCAUGGUUAGUUUGGUUUGUUAUAACUUGAAAGCAACAAACAUUUAUAUUUUUAGUUUUAAUCAAAAUCAAAAUUUCAUUAAAAAACACCGUUCAUAAAACUUGUCAAAAAAAAAAAACACCGUGCAUAAUUUUCAAACGUUAGUGCAAUAUAAAGAGUGAAAAGACGGACCCGUCUUUUUUCUAGUAUUUUAUAAUAUAAAGGUUACAACAAGUAACUUUGCUAGAAUAAAAAGAAAAGUGCACUUUUCUUCUCUUUUUUUUCUAUAAAAAAAAAAAAAGUGCAAGUUCUUAGGACCAAAAAGAAAAGUACAAGGUGCUUUGUUAGAUUAAAAAAUAACAAUAAAAAUUGACGAGGGUAAUUGAGGAUGAAGUCAAACUUAUAUGGAACAUUAAAAAAGGUCAAUGCAAUUUAAUUUUUUUUCUUAUAGAAAAAUAGUGGAUUAAAGUUAAUUGUUAAUAUUUAAAAAUAUUUAUUUAUGUUAAAAUAAAUUUAUAAUGGUACGAGCCUAAAUGGACCAACGCAAUUAUCUCAUGGAUUAUCCAACAAAGAAGUCUACUUGAUAAUGAGUUAAAUGACCCAAUUGUAAGGUUCAAAUCUAGGGAGAGGUGUGUCAACCUCAGUAAAGAGCGGUGUCCAUCUCGAUGAAUGAUGCAACAAUGAAACUCUUUUUUUUCAAGAAAAAUUAACAAAGAAGACAUGUCAGUGUGUUUUAGACUCCCAACCUUGGAAGAUUAUGGCAUAAAGACAAACCCUUGAGAGCACCCGACUUCCCUUAACUCCAUAAUGAAGCUGCAACGAGCCUUUAAUACUCUCAAGUGAAACAUUUUUCCAUGCACUCUAAAAUGAGCCGCUUUUUAUGGUUCUAACCCCUUUCGAGAAGGUUCAAGUCUUGGAAACAAUUGAAGGAGAUAUGCAUGACUUGGUUCACAAUGAACAAUAUAACAGAAAAAAAAAAUAUCUACAUGCUUGGUAAGACUUAGGCAAAAACCAAAAGAAUCUUGAGCUCGUUCAUGGAUCCUUUCAACAAAGAAAUAUGUCUGAUCACAAAUUUGAACCAUGCUAUAACACUCUACUUACUGGUGUCAUGUCUCAAAAUAUGACUAUUUGUUGAUUCAUUGGCGACGACUUUCCAAUACUCUUGGCGAGUUAAGAAAAGGAGCAACAUACUACAUUGUUAUGGAAGAGAUUGCACUUACGAAGUAGGGAGAUUGUAAAAUUUCCCCUCAACAAUGACUAAUUUUAGAAUGAAGGUUGCAAUUAUCGAAACAGAGGAGGACUAUUCCCAAGAAGUGUACUUUUAGGGUUCUUAGGCUUCAAGAUUACUCAAAGGACAAUAAAAAUUAACCCCGACAAGUGCAAAACCAUCCUUGGGAUCUGAAUCUAAACCUACAUAAAAGAAGGGAAACGAUUGGUAGGUCUCACAAUAUCCAUAUCUUGUUUUCUCUCUAAGUCAGCAAAUCGUUCACUGUCAUUUUAUCAAGCCCUAAAGAAGUCAUAAUGGUUUCAAUGGACCCCACCGUGCCAACUAUCCUUCAUCACCUUUAGUCUUAACUAGGACAACUCCAAGCAAGUUGACAUUUCAAUUAAAAUAUAUAGGGUAGCUGUUAGUUCGACACUAGUUAAAGAAAGAGAAAUAGCACAUUAUCCAAUGUACUUCGUUAGUAAGGUGUUUUUAUGAGUCAAGAUAUUAUACUAGAAAUUUGAGAAACUAGUAUACGUUUUGGUGGUUACAACUCAGAGGCUUAGAUAACAUGAAUUUUUCGAUCAAUAGUCUUGCAAAAACUUGAACUUUCAAAGAGGAUGGUGACUUGGUUAGUUGAGCUUUUCAAACUUCAGAUCGAUUUUCAGCCAAGAGAAACAAUUAAGUUCUAAGUCGUAGCGGAAUUUGUUGUUAAGAUGACGCAUCCACCUUGCAAAGAACAAUGAGCCUUGUUCAUGAUCAGAUUCUAGAUCCCAUAUCAAUGGAAGUGGAUAAGGCAUUAUUUUUGAAGGAUUCAUCUUCAAAAGUGCCAACAUAUAAUAAGAAUAUUAAUCGUUAAUAUCAUGAAUGCAACUCUCUUGGGAUAUGGGAGUAUCCCACUUUCAAAUUAAUAGUGAUUCGCAACUAUUUGUCAACCAAAUCAGUGGCGAAUAACAUGUCAGAGAAUAAGCCAUGGUUAGUUAGUUGGAAAAGGUCAGGAUAC
rnacentral:lncRNA from 1 species